UAAAAUAAAUAAAAUAUUUAUUUAUUAUUAUAUUUAUCAAUUUAUCUUUAUUGAAAUAAUAUUAGAUCUUUAAGUUUAAACAUAUAAAUUUUUUUAUUGUUAAAUUAUACAGUUUUAAUUUCAACAAUAACUUGUAAUUUAAUAUAUUUAUUAAAAUGUCACGGUGUAGACCCCAAAAUUUGUUACAAUUUUAUCUUUACAUUAAUUUUGAGUCCAGUUUUGAAUUCCAAUUACAUAUAUUUUUUGGCCCACUCACUAUUUCAUAGUUUUUAUUAUUUUGUAUAUCAUUUUAUUUUAUUUUAUUAUUAAUACUUUUAUUUUAUUAUUAUUAUUAUUAUUAUUUAUUUUUUUCUUUCUUUUCUCUCUCCUCUCUCCUCUCUCCUUCUUACUCCCCAACCACCCCACCCUCUUCUGCUCUCUCUUCCCAUUCUUCCCACACGAUCCCCCCCGAACAGACUGGUUUUUUUUUUCUUUUCUUCCUCCAUUCCUCUUCUUCCCACAACCAACCCCCAUUUUUUUCUUCCCUUUCUCCAUUUUUUUUUUCAGUUUUUCUCAUCUUGUUUUCUCAAGAGAGCCGACCCCCAUUUUUAUUUUAUUUUUUAUUUUUUCCUUUUUCUUCUUCCCCCAAAAGCACCCAACAGCCUGCUCCCCCAUUCCUCUUCCAUUUUUAUUUUUUAUUUUAUUAUUUUUAUUUCAGUUUAUUUUAUUUUAUUUUAUUUGUGAUUCCUAAAAAAAAUCAUCCACUACUGUCGGCAAGAUCGUCGGCCAGCAACCCCUUUCCCAUCUCAUCCGUUCCCGUUAUUAUUAUUAUUAUUAUUAUUAUUAUUAUUAUUAUUGUUAUUAUUGUUAUUUUAAUUUAUUUUAGUAGUAAUUGUUGUUUAUGAAAUUUGGAUUGUUGAAUUAAUAUGAAAUUUGGGGUUAAUUUGUUAUUGAUAGAUUAAUACAUAAUUUGAUUUAAUUUAUUGUUAGUGAAUUAAUUUGAAAUUUGCUAAUUUGGGUUUGUGGGCAUAUUAUAUUGGGUGAUUAAUUUGAGGAUAUUUAGAUUAUAUCAAUUGCAUAUUGUUUAUUUGGACUUGGGUCUAUUGUUAAAUUGUUAUUUGUUUGGGCUUAUUGAAUUGAGCUUGAAAUAUUGUUUCUUUUGACCAUGUGUUUUUUUUUUAUGUGAUCUUGUUAAUUGAUGUGAAUUUUGGGGCACAUAAUGUGGGUGGGAUUUGUUGGAUUAUUUGAAUAUUUGAUAUGGGUUUGACCAAUUUAAAUUGUUUAAUUUGGACAUAGGACAAUUGUGGUGUAUAUUAAACUAGACUUAGAUUAUAAAAUAUUAAGUUUAGGUCUAGUAGAAUUUAUUUUAAUUUAUCCAAUUUUAGGUUUGGUUGAUUGUGUUUGUAUUUUUUGUUAUUAAUUUGGAUGUUCUAGGUUAAGACCUAUAGUAAUUUGGGUUCAUUUUAAAUUGAUAAAAUUUAUAGGACUAAUUUGAAAUUGGGAUUUGGGUUUAAAUAUUUGUUUAGGAUUUUAUACAUCUCUGAAUAUUUACAUUUACGUUGUUUUUGUUUUUGCAUGGACCCAUUCUGCAAUCUUGUUGGCUGAGUACGAAUUGAUAACAUGUGGAGCUUGUUGUAAGUUUAUUUGGGUACAUAUUUUAUUUACCACUUUUAUUUGGUUUUAUUUUAAUUAACUCUUGUAAAUAUUUGUUCGUUUAUAUUUAUUGAGUGUACAGAAUUGAACAUCGAACAAAUUAGAAAUUUUGUUUAAAUGAGAGGAAGAAUUUAGUAAAUAUUCUAAUAAAAUACUAAUUUCAAAAUAUCUUUUUUAAUAAAAGAAAGUUUUUUUAUUUUUAUUUUAUUAUUAUUUUUAUUUAUUAUUAUUAUUAUUUUUUAUCUAUUUAUGAAAAUUCAAAAAAAUGCAUUUAGAAAAAUAAUAAAAAAAUUGUUUUUAAUAGAAUUCGAAAAAUUGUUUUUAAUGACAUUGUUAAAAAAUUUCUUUGUUUAAUAAAAAUUGUCCAAAACUUGUUUUGUAAUUAAAGUUGUCCCAAAAAUUAAUUUUUAGUAAAAUUAUCUAAAAAUAUUUUUUUAAACGAAUUCUUUUUCUUCCUUAAUUAAAACAAAAUUAAAAGUGUUUUUCAGAAAUAGAGAAUUUAAAUCUUUGUUUUUCCUUUUAAUUAAAAUUUCUCUUGCAAAUAAAGUUGUGUCAUUUUAAAUAAUUUAUAAAAAUCACUCUUUUAAAUGAAAAUGAAUCUAAAUACUUUUGUAAAUAAAAUUGUAAAAAUUCAUUAUUUUCUAGUAAAAGUAAGUAAAAAUAAUUUUUGUACCCAAAUUGAAAUUUUGUAAUAAAUUCUUUUGAUACAAUAAGUGUAAAUAGCUUUUUUGAAAAUUGAAUACAAUUGAAAUUGAGAAAAUAAAUUGAUUCUUUUUUAUAAGUAAAUAAAUGGAAAUCACUAAUUCAAGAUCAUUUUUAAUAGAAUCCUUUGAAAUUUCUUUAAAACUUUUUUUAAAUAUCUUUUAUUUAUUUAAUUCAAUAAAUCAUUUUGCAUAAUCCUCUUAUUAUUUAUUUUGUGUAUUUUUGUAAUUAGAUUUCAUCAUCGUUUUUGUGCAUAUUAAUUUUCACCAUGACUUGUAUAUUGAUUAUUUUUCUUGAUAUCCAUAAUUAAUUAAAUAAUUAUCAUAAUUUCCUUAAUUCGUUUAGUAGAGGUCGUACGUAUACGGGCUUAGAGGGGUGCUACGGCUCACCAUCGUACCUUCUCAAUGAGUAACCUGACCCCCGGACCCAGACUCGGUUUUUCACAAACCCGUUUUUUCCUUCAAGAGUCACACUUAGGGUUUUUCUUUCUUAUUUUGUUUUUCCUUUUAAAAAUAAAACAAAAAUAAGUGGCGACUCCAAGUCUUUUUUUAAAAAUCGAAUUUUCACCAAACAAAAUAAAAAGCGAGUUUCACCAUCGAGUGGGAACGCAUCGAGAAAAUACAGGGUCCAUAAAAUGGCGACUCCACUAGGGAUUUUUAGAGGGUCAAACUUGAACUCAAGUUGAAGGGAAUGUGACGUUUGAUUGGUUGAUUAAUGGAUACCCCUCUCUAUGUGUCUUGGUAUGAUUGGUUGUUGAUUACACAUUGAGAGCUUUGAUAUGUUUGUCUGUAAUAUAUGUUUGGUUGUUAUGUUCAUUUGUGAUGUUGAUAUGUUGAUUACAUCGAUUGAUUCUCUUACCUACUUUAGAAUAGUGACUCUUCUUGUUGUAUGUUUAUCUUGCUUUCCUAGACAUGUAUAUUAUCAUUUUUGUAUCUUAUUCAUCUUGGCAUGAUUGAUUCAAUUUGUUAUGUAUUAUCUUGUUUAUCUCGACAUAUUGUCUAUUCUUGUUAUAUUUCUAUCUUGCUUAUCAUAUUCUUGCUUAGCUUGUGUGUAGAUAUGAGUUAUAUACCUGUUAUUUGCAUGACUGCUUUGGUGCAUGACUGCUAUUCUUUUAUGUGAUGCAUGUAUUGCUUGUUUGUGUGGGACACACAUCUAUCCCCUUACCUUCAACUCCCUAGACUCGGUCAACCUUGUUUCACUUGAUAUCGUAUUCGAUAUGAGACUUGUUACUUUGUUUGCUCUUUGACCGAGUUAGGGGUUAGGAGUAGGGUCUAGCGACGGGCUAUACCGAUGUUUGGGAGCAUUGUGGAGGAAAGCGACACUUUGAUGUCGAUUGUAGUCCGAUCAUUGAAGACCUGUAUAGCCCGAAGCUAGGUUUCAUGGAUAUUUGUGUAGUCAGUGUGUUUCUUUUUCUAUUUUAGCUUCGUAAGGUUUUUCGGAUGCACCCACACCAUCACUGUGCACUCUAGCUGACCAUUGAGAGUUGAGAGUUUUAAGAGGUUUCACUAUAGGAAACCCCCUAGGAUGUCGAGGUAGUGUAUGUGUGGAGGUGAUGACCACCUUGCAUGGAAGCACCCCGCCUCUUCGGAGGCGUGCAGAGGGUUGCGUACCGUCAGAGGGUAUGAUCGCUUCUGCUAAAGGAUCUUUUAAAGUCCACCCUUAUCCUUUUAGAGUCACUUUGACCUUGUAGGUUGAGCCGUAGAUUCUUCAAUUAGGACUCCCUCCCUACACCUGGGUGCAUCUGAGGGCCUUCAGAGCCUUUUUGAUCAUAGUUGGGAUUCAAUAUUCCCUCUUUUAGUCUCUAGUGAGAGUGCACCGAGAUCAGUACGAGUUUGGGUAUGGUCAGACGGUCCGUCUUCGUUUUUGAUGCCCUGCUCAUUCCAAUUCAGACUAGCAUUUCUUCCAUGUUUUCCCUAUGCCUACCAUAUCUCAUGCUUCAUGCUUUUCAGGAUUAGUUCUUCAUUCUCAGUGUGGAUUUACCAUCUUGGGUUAAAGUACAGGGGAGCUUAGUUUGGUUUUCCGAGAGGUCAAGCAUAGAUCAGUAGACUGUCACAGUUGGCUAGUUCACAGACGCCAUGGAUUCUAUUAAGGUAUCUUGUGAUUCAUGCUCUUCAGGAUUGGUUUUUCAUUCUCAGUGUGGAUUUGCCAUCUUGGGUCAGAGUAGAGGGGAUAUUAGUUCGCUUUUCCGAGAGAUCAGACAUGGAUCAGCGGGUUGUCACAGUUGGCUAGUUCACAGAUGCCAUGGAUUCUAUUCAGGUAUCUUGUGCUUCAUGCUCUUCAGGAUUGGUUUUUCAUUCUCUAUGUGGAUUUGUCAUCUUGGGUCAGAGUAGAGGGGAUAUUAGUUCGCUUGUCCGAGAGAUCAGACAUGGAUCAGCGGGUUGUCACAUUGAUUAGUUCACGGCCGCCAUGGCUUCUAUUUAGGAGGCCUUGGCCAGUCUCAGGCAGGAGAUAAACAAUCAGCAGAGUAGACAGUCCUUGAGGAUACUCAUUCAUGUAUGGAUCGUAUUGAGUAGCGUAUCAGGCAGUUGAGAGUAUCUGAUAGUUCAUCGACUUGGGAUGAUCUUGAUAGUAUACCAGUAGCCAGUCUACCAGCCAAGUUCAGGAUGCCUGACAUUGAGAGGUACACGAGCGUUGGUUGUCCAUGUAUUCAUCUUCGACUCUACAGUACUGUGAUGAAGGUCCAUGGGUUAGACGAGUCACAGAUGAUCACCAUGUUUCUUUUAUCUCUGAGUGGCGUAGCCCAGCAUUAGUUCGCAUCUUUGGAGUCCUCGCGACACAGGACAUAGGAUGACCUAGCUUAGGAGUUUUUGUGACAGUUUUCAUUUAGUACUGUCGUAGAUGUGUCGAGGAGAGAGCUUGAGGGUUUCAGACAGAGAUCAGAUGAAUCCAUUUCUUCCUUCAUCUCCCGCUGGUGGGGGAAGAUAGCAGAGAUUAUUGAUUGACCAUUAUAGAGAGGUGACUUAGUCUUGAGGUUCAUCAGAGGAUUGAUUAGAGAUCCUAGAGGGAAGUUCGGACCCAACUGGAGCAGACUUUAUUUCAUCAGGGAGUUGACCCCAGAGGGCGUUGCAUGGUUGAUGGAUCUAGAUGGAAACCGAUUCUCAGAGUUGACCAAUGUGGAUCAGCUAAAGAGGAAUUAUGUUUGAGACCAUGGUUGCAGGAUGGGUGGCCAUCAUUUCGGUUAGCCAUAUACCCUUUCACUUUUUUGAUACAUAGACCGUUGCUAGCCCAUUGAGCCUCACAUGUGCAUUAUAACCUUUCUUUCUUAUCGCCUUGCACACAUUUCUACACCGGGAUAGGGACCCUUUAGUGUAUGCAUGCAUUGUUUGGGAGUCUCAUGAGUCUUGGACCUACAGGUGCAUCUUUCUCUCAUCAUUUUUUCCUACCAUCACAUUACUGCAUUCCAUCGUAUCUUAGUGGUUGUCCUUCAUCUUUUCUUCUUUGUUCUAUCUAUUGCUUGUUUUGUUUCAUAUGCUCUCCACCUUGAGUGGUGAUCCUCCUCAGUUCAUUACAUGAAGGAUAAUCACAUCAUUUCCACUAUUUAUUCUAUGAACACUGGUUCAGAGAUUCUUAGUUUGAGAAGGUCAUCUUGUCAGAGAAAGUUUUUGUUACCUUAGUUUUGAGAGUGUGUCUAUUCAUCGUUGAUAUCAUCUUUGGGGCCUAUUUUGUUCAUGUUCAGGGUGUGUACAUUUGUAUAUAUGUAAAAAAAAAAAAAAAAAAAAAUGAAUGAAAAAAAAUUGAAAAGAAAAAAAAGAAAAAGAAGGAAAAAAAAAUUGAAAAAAAAAAAAGCGCAGGUGUGUAUUAUUUUUUAUCAUUGAGUGUGUAUAUUGAUAUUCGAGGGUCACUUGAUUGAGUAUGUUUGUUGAUGGGAGUUCGUAUGUGAGCUUUCCGAGGCCCUUCAUGCUUUGUAUUCAUUUUUAUUGUAUAUUUCGAGAGUGAGAUGAGUGACCUUCUCCUAGGAGCUCUGGGUCAUUGUCUCUUCCAUCAUUACGUUCAUUAUUGAUGUGACUUCACUUUAUGUCUGAUUUGAGUUGAUCACUACUCCUAUUUGUGUUAUUUGUUCCAUCAUCAUCCUCGUUUUUGCUUCUGAUUCAUCAUUUUCACUUCACAUCUUAUUCUUUUCUUACAGCAACCCAUCUCGGGUUUGAUACUCUCUUCGCAUCAUCAUUACACAUAUCACUAUCAGUUCAUUUGCUUCAUUUGUCUCCUUAUCGACAUCAUAUUCACAUUAGGCAUCCUUAGGUCUAUGGCUCACGAGAUUCACUAUACAUGUUGCAUUUCAUAUACGAGGGUAUGAGUUUUUUAUCAUUGGGUAUUUGAGCCUAGUUUUCCUUUAUUUCUAUCACCCUAUCACCUUGGCCUACGUUACGUCCUGUGUCUUAAGACCACCCUGAGGCCAUGGGAUCAGAUGUCGUCUUCGACAGCCUCUACUUGGACAGGUGUUUGAGAUCUGGUUGAUAUUUGAAUAUCGUCAUGCUUCUUCUUCUGGGAGUCGUCUCUUUGAUGUUUAGAUCUAAUUCAGCUGUGUUUGGAUUACCUGGAUCAUGCACUUGACGAUGGAUGAUUUGAUGUCACCUGAUUUUUCAGAUUUAUCACAUAUUCGAUGUCAUACUGGGGCAUAUUCCGUUUCGGGCGAGAUCUAUAGGUCUUCAGGGAGUUGCAUGAUUAUCCCCACUUGUGAGAUGUACGUUGAGAUGAUUGAUUGGUUCAUUAUUUUAUGAUGAUCCCUUAGUGGAGCCUCUGUGGAGCCAUUCAGUCAAGCCCACAUUUCUCGGCAUUUGGUUGCCGCCAUGCUUCUUAUCCAAGGAGAUGUUCCCUAGUUGUUUGGCAUGUUCGAUGAUAGAUGAUUCCAUGUCACCUGGUUUCUGACUUACCGUACAUUCGACGACAUACUAGGGCAUAUUUUCGACUAGACGAGAUUUAUAGAUCUUCACGGAGUUACAUGAUCACUCCCACUUGCGGGAUGCACACCGAGACGAGGACGUGUUCGUUAUCUUAUCAUGAUCUCCCAGGAGAGCCUCUCUUGAGUGAUUCAGUCAGGCACACACUUUUGACAUUUAGAUGUCCUUAUGCUUCUUCUUUUGAGAUACGCCUUUUGAUAUGUGGGUUGGAUUCAACUAUGGAUUUAGAUGAUUGGGAUCACACAUUUGAUGAUAGAUUAUUUGAUGUUGUCCGAUUUUUGGCUUAUUCCACAUCUGAUUCUAUACUGGGGUAUAUUUUCAUUUUGAUUGAGAUUUAUAGAUCUUCAUGGAGCUACAUGAUCACUCCCACUUGCGGGAUGCACACUGAGACGAGGACAUGUUCGUUGUUUUAUCAUGGUCCCUCGGUGGAGCCUCUCUUGAGCCAUCUAGUCAGACCCGUAUUUUUUGGCAUUUGUAUGUCAUCAUGCUCCUUAUUUCGAGAGACAUUUCCUUGAUGUUUGGGUUCGAUUUGGAUUACGGAGAUCACACAUUUGACAAUUGAUGGUUCAUGUCACUCAAUUUUCGACUUACCAUACAUAUAUACAAAUGUACACACCCUAAACAUGAAGAAAAUAGGCCCCAAAGAUGAUAUCAACAAUGAUAAGAUUUUCCCCCCAUUUUUUUUUCCUAUUCUCUUCUCUCUACUUUUUCCUCUUUUUCCCUCAUCGAAACACGCCGGACCCCUCGACUUUGAUUUUUUUUAUUAUUUUUUUUCCUUUUUUGGCUGCAGUCGGCCAUUGAAGAGGUUUUUUUUUUUUUUUUGGGGGGGGGGGGGGGGGGGGGGGAGGGGGGGUUUUUUUUUUUUUUUUUUCCCUUUUUUUUUUUUUGGCCCCCCCCCCGGAAAAGGGGGAGGGGGCAUUUUUUUUUUUUUUUUUUUUUUUUNNNNNNNNNNNNNNNNNNNNNNNNNNNNNNNNNNNNNNNNNNNNNNNNNNNNNNNNNNNNNNNNNNNNNNNNNNNNNNNNNNNNNNNNNNNNNNNNNNNNUCGGUGGAGCCUUUCCUGAACCAUUUAGUCAAGACCCGAUAUUUUUGGCAUUUGAUUGUCAUCAAGCUCCUUAUUUUCGAGAGACAUUUCCUUGAUGUUGGGUUUGAUUUGGAUUACGGAGAACACACAUUUGACAAAGGAUGGUUCAACUCACUCAAUUUUCGAAUUACCCUACAUAUAUACAAAUGUACACACCCUAAACAAGAAGAAAAUAGGCCCCAAAGAUGAUAUCAACAAUGAUAAGAUUUUCCCCCCCUUUUUUUUUCCUAUUUUUUUCUUUUUACUUUUUCCUUUUUUUCCCUCAUCGAAACACGCCGGACCCCUUGAAUUUGAUUUUUUUUUUUAUUUUUUUUCCUUUUUUGGGUGCAGUUGGCCAAUGAAGAGGUUUUUUUUUUUUUUUUGGGGGGGGGGGGGGGGGGUGGGAAGGGGGUUUUUUUUUUUUUUUUUUUCCCUUUUUUUUUUUUUGCUACUCCCUCUAGAGACGGGGAACGGACCAGUUUUUUUUUUUUUUUUUUCUUUUCUUCCUCCAUUCCUCUUCUUCUUCCCAUAGCCAACCCCUAUUUUUUUCUUCCCUUUCUCCAUUUUUUUUUCCUUUUUUAGUUUUUCUCCUCCUGUUUUCCCAAGAGAGCCGACCCCCAUUUUUAUUUAUUUUUUAUUUUUUCCUUUUUCUUCUUCCCCCAAAAGCACCCAACAACCAACUCCCCCAUUCCUAUUCCAUUUUCAUUUUUUAUUUUAUUAUUUUUAUUUCAGUGUAUUUUAUUUUAUUUUAUUUGUGAUUCCUAAAAAAAAUCAUCCACUACUGCCGGCAAGAUCACCGGCGAGCCACCGUCGGCCGGCGACCCCUUUCCCAUCUCAUCCGUUUCCGUUAUUAUUAUUAUUAUUAUUGUUAUUGUUAUUAUUAUUAUUGUUAUUGUUAUUGUUGUUAUUUUAAUUUAUUUUAGUAGUAAUUGUUGUUUAUGAAAUUUGGAUUGUUGAAUUAAUAUGAAAUUUGAGGUUAAUUUGUUGUUGGUAGAUUAAUACAUAAUUUGAUUUAAUUUAUUGUUAGUGAAUUAAUUUGAAAUUUGUUAAUUUGGGUUUGCGGGCAUAUUGUAUUGGGUGAUUAAUUUGAUGAUAUUUAGAUUAUAUCAAUUACAUAUUGUUUAUUUGGACUUGGGCCUAUUGUUAACUUGUUAUUUGUUUGGGCUUAUUGAAUUGGGCUUGAAAUAUUAUUUCUCUUGACCAUGUGGUUUUUUUUUUUUUUUUUUUUUUCCUUUUUUUUUGUUGCUACUCCCUCUAGAGACGGGGAACGGACCAGUUUUUUUUUUUCUUUCUCCAUUCCUCUUCUUCUUCCCACAGCCAACCCCUAUUUUUUUCUUCCCUUUCUCCAUUUUUUUUUUCUUUUUUUAGUUUUUCUCCUCCUGUUUUCCCAAGAGAGCCGACCCCCAUUUUUAUUUAUUUUUUAUUUUUUCCUUUUUCUUCUUCCCCCAAAAGCACCCAACAACCAACUCCCCCAUUCCUAUUCCAUUUUCAUUUUUUAUUUUAUUAUUUUUAUUUCAGUGUAUUUUAUUUUAUUUUAUUUGUGAUUCCUAAAAAAAAUCAUCCACUACUGCCGGCAAGAUCGCCGGCGAGCCACCGUCGGCCGGCGACCCCUUUCCCAUCUCAUCCGUUUCCGUUAUUAUUAUUAUUAUUAUUGUUAUUGUUAUUAUUAUUAUUGUUAUUGUUAUUGUUGUUAUUUUAAUUUAUUUUAGUAGUAAUUGUUGUUUAUGAAAUUUGGAUUGUUGAAUUAAUAUGAAAUUUGAGGUUAAUUUGUUGUUGGUAGAUUAAUACAUAAUUUGAUUUAAUUUAUUGUUAGUGAAUUAAUUUGAAAUUUGUUAAUUUGGGUUUGUGGGCAUAUUGUAUUGGGUGAUUAAUUUGAGGAUAUUUAGAUUAUAUCAAUUACAUAUUGUUUAUUUGGACUUGGGCCUAUUGUUAACUUGUUAUUUGUUUGGGCUUAUUGAAUUGGGCUUGAAAUAUUAUUUUUCUUGACUUUUUUUUUUUUUCCUUUUUUUUUGUUGCUACUCCCUCUAGAGACGGGGAACGGACCAGUUUUUUUUUUUUUUUUUCUUUUCUUCCUCCAUUCCUCUUCUUCUUCCCACAGCCAACCCCUAUUUUUUUUUCCCUUUCUCCAUUUUUUUUUUCUUUUUUUAGUUUUUCUCCUCCUGUUUUCCCAAGAGAGCCGACCCCCAUUUUUAUUUAUUUUUUAUUUUUUCCUUUUUCUUCUUCCCCCAAAAGCACCCAACAACCAACUCCCCCAUUCCUAUUCCAUUUUCAUUUUUUAUUUUAUUAUUUUUAUUUCAGUGUAUUUUAUUUUAUUUUAUUUGUGAUUCCUAAAAAAAAUCAUCCACUACUGCCGGCAAGAUCGCCGGCGAGCCACCGUCGGCCGGCGACCCCUUUCCCAUCUCAUCCGUUUCCGUUAUUAUUAUUAUUAUUAUUAUUGUUAUUGUUAUUAUUAUUAUUGUUAUUGUUAUUGUUGUUAUUUUAAUUUAUUUUAGUAGUAAUUGUUGUUUAUGAAAUUUGGAUUGUUGAAUUAAUAUGAAAUUUGAGGUUAAUUUGUUGUUGGUAGAUUAAUACAUAAUUUGAUUUAAUUUAUUGUUAGUGAAUUAAUUUGAAAUUUGUUAAUUUGGGUUUGUGGGCAUAUUGUAUUGGGUGAUUAAUUUGAGGAUAUUUAGAUUAUAUCAAUUACAUAUUGUUUAUUUGGACUUGGGCCUAUUGUUAACUUGUUAUUUGUUUGUUUUUAUGUGGGCUUGUUAAUUGAUGUGAAUUUUGGGGUCCACAAUGUGGGUGGGAUUUGUUGGAUUAUUUGAAUAUUUGAUAUGGGUUUGGCCAAUUUAAAUUGUUUAAUUUGGACAUAGGACAAUUAUGGUGUAUAUUAAAUUAGACUUAUAUUAUAAAAUAUUAAGUUUAGGUCUAGUAAAAUUUAUUUUAAUUUAUCCAACUUUAGGUUUNNNNNNNNNNNNNNNNNNNNNNNNNNNNNNNNNNNNNNNNNNNNNNNNNNNNNNNNNNNNNNNNNNNNNNNNNNNNNNNNNNNNNNNNNNNNNNNNNNNNAUUUAGGCUCAUUUUAAAUUGACAAAUUUAUGGGACUAGUUGAGANUGGGAUUUGGGUAUAUUUGUUUGUGAUUUAUACAUCUAUGGAUAUUUACAUUUGCGCUGUUUUUGUUUUUGCAUGGACUCAUUCUGCAAUCUUAUUGGCUGAGUACGAAUUGAUGACAUGUGGAAUUUGUUGUAAGUUUAUUGGGGUAUAUAUUUUAUUUACCACUUUUAUUUGGUUUUAUUUUAAUUAACUCUUGUAAAUAUUUGUUCGUUUAUAUUUAUUGAGUGUGUACAGAAUUGAACAUCGAACAAAUUAGAAAUUUUGUUUAAAUGAGAUGAUGAAUUCAGUAAAUAUGUUCUAAUAAAAUACUAAUUUCAAAAUAUCCUUUUUAAUAAAAGAAAGUUUUUUAUUUUAUUUUAUUUUUAUUAUUUAUUUAUUUAUUUUUACUAUUUUUUAUCUAUUUAUGAAAAUUCAGAAAAAUGCAAAAAAAUUGUUUUUAAUAGAAUUCGAAAAAUUGUUUUUAAUGACACUGUUCAUGUUUAAUAAAAAUUGCCCAAAAAUUGUCUUGUAAAUAAAGUUGUCCCAAAUAUUAAUUUUUAGUAAAAUUGUCUAAAAAUAUUUUUUUAAACGAAUUCUUUUUCUUCCUUAAUUAAAACGAAAUUAAAAGUGUUUUUCAGAAAUAGAGAAUUUAAAUAUUUGUUUUUCCUUUUAAUUAAAAUAAAGUUGUGUCAUAUUAAAUAAUUUAUAAAAAUCACUCUUUUAAAUGAAAAUGUAAAUACUUUUGUAAAUAAAAUUGUAAAAAUUCAUUAUUUUCUAGUAAAAGCAAGUAAAAAUAAUUUUUGUACCCAAAUUGAAAUUUUGUAAUUCUUUUGAUGCAAUAAGUGUAAAUAACUUUUUUGAAAAUUGAAUACAACUGAAAUUGAGAAAAUAAAUUGAUUUUUUUUUAUAAGUAAAUAAAUGGAAAGAUCAUUUUAUAGAAUCGUUUGAAAUUUCUUUAAAAUUUUUUUAAAUAUCUUUUAUUUAUUUAUUUGAAUAAAUUAUUUUGCACAAUCCUCUUAUUAUUUAUUUUGUGUUUCAUCAUCGUUUUUUAAUUUUCAUCAUGACUUGUAUAUUGAUUAUUUUUCUUGAUAUCCAUAAUUAAUUAAUUAAUUGCCACAAUUUCCUCUUUAGUAGAGGCCGUACGUAUACUGGCUUAGAUGGGUGCUACGGCUCACUACCGUACCUUUCCAAUGAGUAACUUGACCCUCGGACUCAGACUCGAUUUUUCACAGAUCACACUUAAGGUUUUCUUUCUUAUUUUGUUUCCUUUAAAAAUAAAAUAAAAAUAAGUGGCGAUUCCUUUCUAAAAAUCAAAUCUUCACCAAACAAAAAUUCGCAAUUGAGUGGGAAUGCACCGAGAAAAUGUGGAGUCCACACACGGUUUUGUAUUUUAAAAUUUAUACUACUUUGAUAUUAAAAAUAUGGUUUUUAAAAAUAUUUAAUAAAAUAUAUUAAUUUUUAACUAUUUUCAAAUAUAAAUUUUUUUUUUAUGAUAUUAAUAAGAAUUUUUAAUAAAUAAUUUUAAUUUAAAUAUGAAAAUUUUUUUUAACGGAAAAAAAAAAAUAUGAGUAUCUUCAACAAUUCCAUUAGGUACGGCAUUGACGUGCAGUAUAAGGCACCGUGGGAAAAAUAUCUUGUAAUAAGCGGCUAACUUCCCCAUAACUUGGAAAUCCAACCCCCAACUUGGGUGAUUAAUUUGAGGAUAUUUAGAUUAUAUCAAUUACAUAUUGUUUAUUUGGACUUGGGCCUAUUGUUAACUUGUUAUUUGUUUGGGCUUAUUGAAUUGGGCUUGAAAUAUUAUUUCUCUUGACCAUGUGAUUUUUUUUUAUGUGGGCUUGUUAAUUGGAUUAUUUGAAUAUUUGAUAUGGGUUUGGCCAAUUUAAAUUGUUUAAUUUGGACAUAGGACAAUUAUGGUGUAUAUUAAAUUAGGCUUAUAUUAUAAAAUAUUAAGUUUAGGUCUAGUAAAAUUUAUUUUAAUUUAUCCAACUUUAGGUUUGAUUGAUUGUGUUUGUAUUUUUGGUUAUUAAUUUGGAUGUUCUGGGUUAAGACCUAUAAUAAUUUAUUAAAUUGACAAAAUUUAUGGGACUAAUUUGAGAAUUGGGAUUUGGGUAUAUUUGUUUGUGAUUUUAUACAUCUAUGGAUAUUUACAUUUGCGCUGUUUUUGUUUUUGCAUGGACUCAUUCUGCAAUCUUAUUGGCUGAGUACGAAUUGAUGACAUGUGGAAUUUGUUGUAAGUUUAUUGGGGUAUAUAUUUUAUUUACCACUUUUAUUUGGUUUUAUUUUAAUUAACUCUUGUAAAUAUUUGUUCGUUUAUAUUUAUUGAGUGUGUACAGAAUUGAACAUCGAACAAAUUAGAAAUUUUGUUUAAAUGAGAUGAUGAAUUCAGUAAAUAUGUUCUAAUAAAAUACUAAUUUCAAAAUAUCCUUUUUAAUAAAAGAAAGUUUUUUAUUUUAUUUUAUUUUUAUUAUUUAUUUAUUUAUUUUUACUAUUUUUUAUCUAUUUAUGAAAAUUCAGAAAAAUGCAAAAAAAAUUGUUUUUAAUAGAUUUCGAAAAAUUGUUUUUAAUGACACUGUUCAUGUUUAAUAAAAAUUGCCCAAAAAUUGUCUUGUAAUAAAGUUGUCCCAAAUAUUAAUUUUUAGUAAANNNNNNNNNNNNNNNNNNNNNNNNNNNNNNNNNNNNNNNNNNNNNNNNNNNNNNNNNNNNNNNNNNNNNNNNNNNNNNNNNNNNNNNNNNNNNNNNNNNNGCAAGAUCGCCGGCGAGCCACCGUCGGCCGGCGACCCCUUUCCCAUCUCAUCCGUUUCCGUUAUUAUUAUUAUUAUUAUUAUUGUUAUUGUUAUUAUUAUUAUUGUUAUUGUUAUUGUUGUUAUUUUAAUUUAUUUUAGUAGUAAUUGUUGUUUAUGAAAUUUGGAUUGUUGAAUUAAUAUGAAAUUUGAGGUUAAUUUGUUGUUGGUAGAUUAAUACAUAAUUUGAUUUAAUUUAUUGUUAGUGAAUUAAUUUGAAAUUUGUUAAUUUGGGUUUGUGGGCAUAUUGUAUUGGGUGAUUAAUUUGAGGAUAUUUAGAUUAUAUCAAUUACAUAUUGUUUAUUUGGACUUGGGCCUAUUGUUAACUUGUUAUUUGUUUGUUUUUAUGUGGGCUUGUUAAUUGAUGUGAAUUUUGGGGUCCACAAUGUGGGUGGGAUUUGUUGGAUUAUUUGAAUAUUUGAUAUGGGUUUGGCCAAUUUAAAUUGUUUAAUUUGGACAUAGGACAAUUAUGGUGUAUAUUAAAUUAGACUUAUAUUAUAAAAUAUUAAGUUUAGGUCUAGUAAAAUUUAUUUUAAUUUAUCCAACUUUAGGUUUGAUUGAUUGUGUUUGUAUUUUUGGUUAUUAAUUUGGAUGUUCUGGGUUAAGACCUAUAAUAAUUUAGGCUCAUUUUAAAUUGACAAAAUUUAUGGGACUAGUUUGAGAAUUGGGAUUUGGGUAUAUUUGUUUGUGAUUUUAUACAUCUAUGGAUAUUUACAUUUGCGCUGUUUUUGUUUUUGCAUGGACUCAUUCUGCAAUCUUAUUGGCUGAGUACGAAUUGAUGACAUGUGGAAUUUGUUGUAAGUUUAUUGGGGUAUAUAUUUUAUUUACCACUUUUAUUUGGUUUUAUUUUAAUUAACUCUUGUAAAUAUUUGUUCGUUUAUAUUUAUUGAGUGUGUACAGAAUUGAACAUCGAACAAAUUAGAAAUUUUGUUUAAAUGAGAUGAUGAAUUCAGUAAAUAUGUUCUAAUAAAAUACUAAUUUCAAAAUAUCCUUUUUAAUAAAAGAAAGUUUUUUAUUUUAUUUUAUUUUUAUUAUUUAUUUAUUUAUUUUUACUAUUUUUUAUCUAUUUAUGAAAAUUCAGAAAAAUGCAAAAAAAAUUGUUUUUAAUAGAUUUCGAAAAAUUGUUUUUAAUGACACUGUUCAUGUUUAAUAAAAAUUGCCCAAAAAUUGUCUUGUAAAUAAAGUUGUCCCAAAUAUUAAUUUUUAGUAAAAUUGUCUAAAAAUAUUUUUUUAAACGAAUUCUUUUUCUUCCUUAAUUAAAACAAAAUUAAAAGUGUUUUUCAGAAAUAGAGAAUUUAAAUAUUUGUUUUUCCUUUUAAUUAAAAUAAAGUUGUGUCAUAUUAAAUAAUUUAUAAAAAUUAAAUAAAAUUGUAAAAAUUCAUUAUUUUCUAGUAAAAGCAAGUAAAAAUAAUUUUUGUACCCAAAUUGAAAUUUUGUAAUUCUUUUGAUACAAUAAGUGUAAAUAACUUUUUUGAAAAUUGAAUACAACUGAAAUUGAGAAAAUAAAUUGAUUUUUUUUAUAAGUAAAUAAAUGGAAAGAUCAUUUUGUUUUCUUUCUUAUUUUGUUUCCUUUAAAAAUAAAAUAAAAAUAAGUGGCGAUUCCAAGUUUUUUUAAAAAUCAAAUCUUCACCAAACAAAAAUUCGCAAUUGAGUGGGAAUGCACCGAGAAAAUGUGGAGUCCACACACGGUUUUGUAUUUUAAAAUUUAUACUACUUUGAUAUUAAAAAUAGUUUUUAAAAAUAUUUAAUAAAAUAUAUUAAUUUUUAACUAUUUUCAAAUAUAAUUUUUUUUUUUUUAUGAUAUUAAUAAGAAUUUUUAAUAAAUAAUUAAAAUAUGAAAAAAAAUUUUAACGGAAAAAAAAAAUAUGAGAUACUUCAACAGUUCCAUUAGGUACGGCAAAAAUAUCUAGUAAUAAGCUUGGGGGUUGGCUUUGAAUAAUUAAUUAGCCGAUCUUACAAGGUUUGUUUUCAAGUUGUCAGGAAUAGCGAAAUAGCGACUUUUGUCUUAAUUGAUAAAAAUUGAGUAUCCGGUGGGAGUCCACACACGGUUUUUGUAUAAAUUACUCACUACACCGUGGGAAAAAUCCACUAUAACUUGGGGGUUGGCUUUUGAAUUAAUUAGCCGAUCUUAACAAUUGUUUUCAAGUUGUCAGGAAUAGCGAAAUAGCGACUGCUUUGUCUUAAUUGAUAAAAAUUGAGUAUAAAUUACUCACUGCACCGUGGGAAAAAUCCACACACGGUUUUUUGUAUAAAUUACUCACUGCACCAUAUAUAUAACUUGGGGGUUGUGAAUUAAUUAGCUGAUCUUAACAAUUGUUUUCAAGUUGUCAGGAAUAGCGAAAUAGCGACUGCUUUGUCUUAAUUGAUAAAAAUUGAGUAUAAAUUACUCACUGCACCGUGGGAAAAAUCCACACACGGUUUUUUGUAUAAAUUACUCACUGCAUCAUAUCUAUAACUUGGGGGUUGUGAAUUAAUUAGCCGAUCUUAACAAUUGUUUUCAAGUUGUCAGGAAUAGCGAAAUAGCGACUGCUUUGUCUUAAUUGAUAAAAAUUGAGUGGGAAUGCACCGGAGUCCACACACGGUUUUUGUAUAAAUUUUACUGAGGACUUUCUAAAGAUUAAAAUUUGAUAUUAAAAAUAUGGUUUUUAAAAAUAUUUAAUAAAAUAUAUUAAUUUUUAACUAUUUUCAAAUAAAUUUUUUUUAUGAUAUUAAAUAAAUAAUUUUAAUUUAAAUAUGAAAAUUGUCUUUUAAGAAGAUUUAACCUUUUAACGGAACGCAUCGAGCAAAUUGACGUGCAGUAUAAGGCACCGUCUGGGAAAAUAAUACGGGUCAAAUAUCUAGGGAAGCAUCCUUAAAAUCCCCCCAACAAUCAUAAGGCUAACUUUUCACUUGUCCUUAAAAUCCCCCCAAUAUCAAUCAUAUUUUUUUCAUUGAUGAAUGUCUACAUCAUCCCCAAAACUUGGAUGGGACAUGGGCUACGUCAUCCCCAAACAGAAUAAGACUGCUUAUGGGCAAGCAAAAAGACGCCCAAGUUACCAUGCAUUCAUCCUCUAUUUGUGUCCAAGAAUUGCAUCCAUAAUCCCUUCAUUCCUAUUCUUUUUCUUCUGGGCUGAUGAAGCUGUUUGGCGUGGAGAUGAUACCGCAUGUAAAAGGCAAGACAACAAAGAAGAGGAAGUCCAUAAGGCUAUUUGGAAAGGAUUUGGUGCCUCAGAGGAGAAAGAGCAGGAUAAAGAAAACCGGAAGCUCAUCAACUGCCUCCCCUCCAGAUUCGCUGCCUUUUGCAUUACUACAGACUGCUCAAGGCAUGGGGGGGCGUGAUUUUGUUUUCCUGACAAGAAAGAUAUUAGAAAGAUCCGACGUAGAUGUGCAUCUCAACCGCCUUUUCUUACCCAAGACUCUGGUGCUGUUAGGGGUGCUGUCGCCUGAGGAGAGGAGAGAGGUGGGAGGAGGAGGGGUGAAAGAUACAGUAUGAUGUUGAAGAAGUGGCCGAGUUUGGAUCAAAUUGUCUUUAAUCGUGGGUGGAGAAAGCUCGUUGAAAACAAUGGGUUGAGGGCAGAACUCGACACUAUCGAACUAUGGACUUUUCGGGCGGAUUUGAAGCUGUGUUUUGCUUUGAAUGUCAAGAGCGAGGGAGACCACCAUUAAUCAUUGAUCAUUUUUGAAGAUGAAGCUAAUAAUGAUGUUAAGUGCAGUUGUUUUAGUUACCUUGAUAUGGAGUUUUAAUUAUUGUUUUCUGUUAUUGUCGAGUCUCCUGUAGUUUGUUUUUUGCAUCUUUGUAGCAGUUGUGUUCGUGUUUGUUUUUGAAUUAUGGUUCAAUGGAUUUCAUGUGGCAUUUGAAUUCUUGUUUUUGUUCGUCUUUUUUUGUUUUUUUUUAUUUUUUUUUUAUUUUGAUGUAGUUUGGAUGGUAUAAGAAAAAACGUCAAUAUAAACAUAUGACAACCUUAGCUUGAAUAAUCACAUGCUAAUAUCAAUUUAUUUGAUCGGGAUUUAAUAUAUGAACUAUAUAUAUAUAUAUUUUUUAUUAUUUGUCGAGGCUCUCUAAUAUAUACAAGGGAAGAGUACUUAUGCUUUGCCUAUUAAAUUCCCUAAAAAACCUGGAAAUCACACUACCCUUCAAACCCUUGUUCACUAAAAACCCAUCUUGACUUAAAUCGCCAAGUUAAACCAAUCCAACCUCAAGGUUCUUCGGUUUGUUCUUCAAUUUAUCCAAAUUUGCAGCACAAGAAAGCCAUGGAAGCAAGAUCUAAACUUGCUAGGGUUCUGCAUAGGAGCUGUUUCGAGGAUGACGAUGAUAAGCUUCAGUGGCUGAAUUGGAAUUUUUGUGGGUUAGAAGGCUUUAAUAUCAAAGUAUUGUUGUAUAAAUUUAGGGGGCCUCCAGAUUGGGAUUAGUGAAUAGUAGAACUCCUUCUUCAUCUUUUGACCAUGGAAAAUAAUCUCUCUCCCUCUCUCUUCUUCUUCUUCUUGGAAUGAACUCCUUAACUCAGAAACAAACUAACACAAUGAUCUAAUUUCUUGGGAUAUUCAAACAGCCCAAAGAUGAAUUUGUCAUCCACAGCUAGCCUUUGAUGAUGGCAUGCUGAUAAGGAUAUCAAACACUGAUAAUAUACCCAUAUUACAAUGAAAGAUAUAGAAGCUUGUGGCAUUCAUACAUGCUGACUUGCGCUGGCUGUUCUUGUCCCCGCCUGUUCUAGGACACAAAAGAACACGGAAGAAAAUUUGGUGGCUAUAGGGACCCCUCCCCCUAGUGACACAUGACACACAUUUCCUGAUGACACGUGACACGCAUUCUUAUCCGGAUUAACCCCAUCCGGAUUCCCCCCAAGAGUACACGUGGCGUGCUUCUCCUAUCCGGACUCCCUCAGGGAGAGGCACACGACACUCACAAACAUAACAUCCGGACGACCGCCAUAUCACAUCCGGACGACCGACAUAUCCUAUCCAGAUAUGUUUGUCCGGAUCAUUGACAGAAGUAAGCAAGUCUUGCACGUCAUUACAACAGCCUGCCAUGGUCCACGUUCCGCCACCUGCAGAGUGAAAGGACAGGAAUGAAAUGAUGACAAGUCACCUCCAACGAUCUCUAACAACCGCGACGCCUCCCACGAUCUCUGUCAGCCGCCCGUAGGGUGAUGAUGACCCUGCCACUCCCUAGAGGCAUCAUGACAAGCCAAAAUAUCUCCCUACCAUUAAAGAGAGAGACAGAACUUCUGAUACUAUAUAUAUGGACCUUCACACAAGGAGGAAGGUAAGCUUGCUAUACUUAAUAAAAGGCCAAUUGAUUUAUCUCUCUAACCAUGGCUGACAAAACCAUCGGAGGGUGCGUUCGGACAGGGUGUCCGGACGCCUUUUGCAGGAACGACUGAACCAGGAAUCUAUAUUGGUUAAGAUCGUGCGUCCAUCCAUUUGGCAAUUACGUGGAUCACCAGGGACGCGAGGCCUCAACAUUGGCGCCGUCUGUGGGAAAAUCACUGAUUCAGUCACCGGUAAAGAUGACCACACUUUCCCGUAGCCGAUCAUCUGGUAGGGGAGAGGAAGAUAAUUCUGAAUGGCGCCAAGCCAUCGAAAGAAGAUAGUUGGCAAGCGAACGACAACUACAAGCUCUCCUCCAGGAGACAAUAAGAUUAAGAGAAGAAAACGUGGUGCUACGCAUCCAAGCUUCAUCGACGGGGCCUCCUCGUCGUCAGCAUUCAAGAGGCCAGGUAGCAAACUCAAGGCCAGACCUAGAGUCAAUAUACCCUGGGAUGGCAGGAGCCAUCCCAGAAACAGGCAACAUUAGACCGCAUGAGCCACACACGCCCAUGCACCGAGCUCCCCAUGAGGAAAGCUUGGAUUCUACUCAUUUUUCAACAAAAAGACAACACGAUAAAAAAUCCCAGUUGUCAGACUCAAUGCGCGCGAGGCUAGGUCUACAGGAGACUGGGAGACCAAAGCCACCAGUAGCCACAACCUGGGCAGCGCACCUUGACCCCAUGGUCACCCCUAGGAUGCAGAAUGUUCUCCCGCACCGUGACCCUAUGGUCACCCCUAUGGUGCAGAACGUUCAUCCGCACCUAGCGGUACGACAAGCUGGGAGAAACCUCCCAAACGAGCCACCCAUUGGCUCCAUCAGCAAAAUGCUGGACGACAUGUUCUCCAUGCCUUUUUGCUCUCAUAUCAUUCAUUACGAGCCCCCAAGGGGAUUCCUCGUGCCAAAAUUUUCCACAUAUGAUGGGUCCAGUGACCUCUUCGACCAUAUCAUGCAUUAUCGAUAGCUCAUGACUCUCGAUAUAGGCAAUGACGCGCUGCUAUGCAAAGUAUUCUUCGCCAGCCUACAAGGGCAGGCUCUCUCAUGGUUCCAUCGCCUACCUCCCAACUCUGUUGAUAAUUUCAGAGACCUAUCGGAAGCCUUCGUGGGACAAUACUUAUGCUCCGCUCGACAUAAACAGAAUAUCAGCACUUUGCAAAACAUAAAAAUGCAAGAUAACGAAUCCUUAAGGGAGUUCGUAAAACGGUUUGGUCAGGCCGUACUACAGGUAGAGGCUUACAGCAUGGAUGUUGUCUUGCAGAUCUUCAAGCGAAGCAUCUGUCCAGGCACCCCAUUUUUUGAAUCACUUGCUAAAAAGCCUCUUAUAAUGAUGGACGACUUGUUCUGACGUGCGAGUAGCCACCCAGCAAGUCUUGGUUGUUGGACAGGCAUCCAGAAAUGGCGCAGAAAGAAGUGCCAAACUUCCGGACCGGCCAAGGCCGUUCGAUCGAAGGCAGGAAGGGCCAAGUCGCCCGGAAAGGCCGCCCCUCACGCCCCUUUCCAUAUCCUAUGAGAAACUUCUCCCUAUGAUCCAAGACAUGUCUGACUUCAGGUGGCCUAGACCCCUCGGAACGGAUCCAUCCAAAAGAGAUCAUAAUAAAAAAUGUGUCUUCCACAAGGAACAUGGUCACACAACAGAGACAUGCAGGUGCCUCCAUUAUUUGGUCGAAAGGCUCAUAAGGGCGGGACAUUUAAAGCAAUACCUCCGCUCAGAGGUUGGAGGUAGAGACGCUUCUCGAAAUCACAACUCUGGAGCCCCUAGGGCCCAACCGCCCCCAAAGCCGUUAUAAACUAUAUUAACGGAGGCCCAUCUGACGAGGAGUACGACUCCAAACGAAAGAGACAAAAGUUGUUGCGGGCAGCAUCGGUGCGCGAGCGUGUCAACUCCAUCCGGCCUGGGAUAACUAGGGGAGGCCCUCGCCCCAUAGAUGGGACAAUCAUUUUCCCACCAGUAGACCCCACCCGGAUAUUGCAGCCGCACCGCGACGCCCUCAACCUAUCCCUAGAGAUAGGAGACUUCGACAUAAGACGCAUCCUGGUUGACCCGGGCAGCUUGGCCGAUCUUGUACAAGCGUCAGUCAUCAGCCACAUGGGACACAGUCUCACAGGCCUCGAAAACCCUGGGCGAAUCUUGUUCAGAUUCAACGGGGCAUCAACUACUUCCUUGGGAGAUAUUGUACUACCGGUCCAAGUUGGCCAAGUCACUCUCAACGUACAAUUUUCGAUGGUACAAGAUUUAUCACCCUUCACUGUUAUCUUGGGAUGCACAUGGCUGCACUACAUGAAAGUCAUCCCCUCUACAUAUCAUCAAAUGGUAAGCUUCCUUACCAAGGAUGAGUAAAUUGACCUAUAUGGCAGCCAGUUAGCCGCUCGCCAAUGCUACCAGAUAGCGCAAGAAGCAGAGACCAGUCAGGAGGAUGCAUCCCUCCCUGAGUCCAACCAUGCACGUGACCAAUAGCAAUUAUUGAGUUCGGCGGACAAAGAUCCCCCGGCAACGGAUCCCUUGCGGGCGAUCCAAAUUUCGGAAGAAGGUACUCACCUUACGAAUAUCAGUUCCCUCCUGACACCAAAAGAAACCCGGAACAUGCAGAACGCCCUCAGACAAAACCAUGACGUCUUCGCAUGGGCACAUUCUGAUAUGAAGGGAAUUCAUCCCUCCAUUACCUCUCAUAAGCUUAACGUCUUGCCAACAGCCAGACCCAUCCGGCAGAGGGUUAGGCAUUUUCACCCGGACAGGCAAAAAAUUAUCCUGGAUGAAAUAGACAAGUUGCUGGAAGCCGAAUUCAUCAGAGAAGUGGAGUACCCGGACUGGUUGGCAAAUGUAGUGGUGGUACCCAAAAAAGAAGGCAAAUGGCGGGUGUGCGUCGACUACACCAACCUCAAUAAUGCAUGCCCAAAAGAUAGUUUCCCUUUGCCGCGGAUAGAUCAAAUUAUGGAUUCCAUUGCUGGGUAGGGGAUGCUCUCCUUCUUGGACGCCUUCUCUGGAUACCACCAAAUCCCCAUGUCCCCGGCUGACGAGGAAAAAACAACCUUCAUAAUGCCACACAGUCUUUACUGCUACAAAGUCAUGUCAUUCGGACUCAAAAACGCUGGCGCCACUUAUCAGAGACUGAUGACAAAGAUCUUCAAACCUCUGGUCGGCCGCACAGUAGAGGUAUAUAUUGACGAUAUUGUGGUUAAAAGCAAAACCCGAAAAGAACAUGUCCUCCAUUUGCAAGAAGUCUUCCACCUCUUAAGGAAGUAUGACAUGAAGUUGAAUCCUUCUAAAUGCGCCUUUGGCGUAAGUGUUGGCAAAUUCCUGGGAUUUAUGGUCAGCCAAAGGGGGAUAGAGGUUAGCCCGGAUCAAGUCAAGGCAGUCAUAGAAACACCACCCCCCAGGAGCAAGAAGGAAUUACAGCGUCUCACAGGCAAGCUCGUCGCACUAGGGCGUUUUAUAACCCGCUUCACUGAUGAACUGCGUCCCUUCUUCUUGGCAAUACGAAAAGCUGGAGCAAACGAAUGGACAGACAGCUAUCAAAACGCUUUUGAAAAAAUCAAACACUGCCUCAUGCAACCGCCCAUCCUAAACAGUCCCCUCCCUGAAGAAAAAUUGUAUAUGUAUUUGGCUAUAUAGAAGUGGGCAAUUAGCGCUGUUCUAUUCCGCUGCCCAUCGCCCAAGGAGCAGAAACCUAUCUACUACAUCAGCAGAGCAUUAGCGAACGUAGAAACUAGAUAUUCAAAGAUGGAGCUAACGACCUUAGCUCUUCGAAGUGCCGCCCAGAAGCUCCGUCCUUACUUCCAAGCCCACCCGGUGGUCGUGCUAACUGACCAGCCCCUUCGCAACAUUCUACACAAGUCGGACCUAACCGGGAGAAUGCUUCAAUGGGCCAUAGAGUUGAGCGAAUAUGGAAUCGAGUUCCAACCCAGGUUAUUCAUGAAGGGCUAAGUGAUGGCUGACUUUGUGCUGGAAUACUCCCGAGAGCCUAUCCAACACAAAGAACCAAGUGAAAAAGAAUGGUGGACUUUGCGAGUUGAUGGAGCCUCCCGAUCAUCAGGAUCCGGGGUAGGGCUCCUGCUGCAAUCCCCAACAGGAGAACAUCUGGAGCAAGCCAUCCGACUGGGGUUCCCCGCCUCUAACAAUAAAGCGGAAUAUGAGACCAUCCUAUCCGGAUUGGACCUCGCCCUGGCUCUAUCCAUAUCCAAGCUCCAGGUCUAUAGUGAUUCCCAACUCGUGGUAAGACACGUCCACAAGGAAUACGAAGCUAAGAAUGUGCGCAUGGCGCGAUAUCUAACUAAAGUAAGGGACACCUUACAACGAUUCACCGAGUGGACGAUUGAGAAAAUUAGACGAACUGAAAAUGGGCGCGCUGACGCCUUGGCAGGCAUAGCUGCCUCCCUUCCCAUAAAAGAAGCCAUAUUGUUGCCUAUACAUGUGCAAGCCAACCCUUCCGUCGCAGAAGCUUCCACUUGCAAUACCAUUGAAGCAAAACAAGCAGACGACCAAGAAUGGACGAACGACAUUAUAAGGUACCUCUGGACAGACACUCUGCCCAAGGAUCCCAAGCAGGCACAUAAGAUCCGGGUGCAGGCCGCCCGUUUCACCUUGAUCGGGGGGCACUUGUACAAACGGUCCUUCACAGGUCCCUACCUUCGGUGUUUAAGCCAUUCAGAGGCCCUGUAUGUAUUAGCUGAAUUGCACGAGAGAGUAUGUGGAAAUCAUUCUGAAGGACGAUCUCUGGUGCAUAGGGCCCAUUCGCAAGGAUAUUACUGGCCCACGAUGAAGAAGGAUACGGCAGCCUACGUCAAAAAAUGCGACAAAUGUCAAAGGCAUGCCCCCAUACCACAUGUGCCGUCGGAGACAUUGAAACCAAUUUUAGGCCCCUGGCCCUUUGCACAGUGGGGCAUGGACAUAGUAGGACCCCUACCAGCCGCACCCGCCCAGAAGAAAUUCCUGCUCGUCGCCACGGAUUACUUCAGUUAAUGGGUGGAAGCUAAAGCAUACGCUAGCAUCAAAGACAAAGAUGUCACCAAGUUCGUGUGGAAGAACAUCAUCUGUCACUUUGGAAUCCCCCAAACCAUUAUAGCUGACAACGGUCCACAGUUUGAUAGCAUCGCUUUCUGGAAUUUCUGUUCGGAACUAAACAUCCGGAAUUCAUACUCCACACCGCGUUAUCCCCAAAGUAAUGGGCAAGCAGAGGCCACAAACAAGACUCUAAUCACUGCCUUAAAGAAAAAGCUCGAGCAAGCCAAAGGAAAAUGGGUGGAGGAGCUACCCGGCAUCUUAUGGGUUUAUCGAACCACACCCGGACGUCCGACAUGAAACACUCCCUUCGCCCUCGCAUACGGUAUGGACGCAAUCAUUCCUACUGAAAUAGGGUUACCCAUUAUCUGGACUGAGGUAGGAAGGCAGGACGAUGCAAAUGCAGAGUUAGGAAGAAACUUGGACUGGGCAGACGAAGUAAGAGAAACUGCAUCCAUCCGGAUGGCAGAUUAUCAAUAGAGGACAUCCGCUCACUACAAUCGCAAAGCGAGGCCCAGAAGCUUAAAAAAUGGUACGCUGGUCCUUAGAAAGGUUUUCGAAAAUACUGUUGAGAUAGGAGCAGGAAAGUUUCAAGCCAAUUGGGAAGACCCCUAUAUAAUAUCUAAGACAAAUGAAAGUGGAGCUUAUCAUUUACAAAAGCUAGACGAAACCCCAUUGCUCCGAUCAUGGAAUGUAUCUAAUCUAAAGCAGUAUUACCAAUGAAAGAGAAAUAGAAGUGCAAUUUGAAUAAGUAUGUUUUAUUAAUACUUGUCAAAAUUGUAUACAAAGAGUUCUCCGGACUACAAAAUACAGGGAAAGGAUAGCAGUAAAAAUUACAAAAAGAAAAGUUCUCAUUGGGCAGGCUUGCCGCGUAGCUUCUUCUCCUUACCUGGGGAAAUCGAAGAGACGUCCCGUUUGAUACCAUGUUUUUUCAUACAACAACGAUAGCCGAAGAAGUACAUUUCGUCUACCUGCUUCUGGUAGUCCGCUUCAAGUUCCUCCCUUUCCACAACAAACUCAGCCUCCAACUCUUCUUUUUGUGCUGAUAAAUGCGACUGUAAAUCCUCUCUCUGCUUUUUCUCGAUUGACACCUCUGUCCGGAGUUGCCUCACUUCUCCCCUCAGCUGGGCCAUCUCGCCCUUCGCCUCAUGCAGGCGGGCGUCUGUAGAUUCCUCCCGGAUCUUUGCCUCAGCAAGCUCUAUCCGGAGAGCCUCGUUGUCCUCUCGAGCAGCGGAUAAACUGGCUUCAACCUGCUCUAGUCUCAAGCGUAGCUCCUCUUCACUGUUUUUGCGCUGAGAGACGAAGGCCUUCGUAUAAUCAGCAGUCUGCAGCAGACUAGAAAAAAGAUCACGUUGUUGAGCCAUGCCACGAAUACCGCUCACCAGCUGCAGAAAAACCCACAAACAAGAAGUGCAAAAUUACAACCCAUAUGACAAACACAUUAGUAUGGCAAGAAAAAUCAAGAAGUAAACUAUACCAUUUCCGCCGCUUCAAACAUCUUUACUGAAGGCACAUCAACAUCUGAGCCGGAUGGAAUCCGUUUCAGCAUCUCUCCCAACUCAGCAUAGCUGAAAGGACUAGCGGAGAUGCAAACUGCAUCAUCAACGGGACUCCCCCAUGAUGAGGCAUUAGGGAGUGACUCCUCCCCCGGGUCCAGGGCCCCAUCAUUCUCGACUGGCUGGGUCUCUCCGGGUGAACCCCCAUCCGGGACCAGCACCGGGGCGGUUAGGUUCUCUUCUGCCAUCUCCGUCUCACUCCCCUCCGGAUGAUCCUCCUGGAUGGACGAGCAGCUGACUUCGAUAGUUUCCAGAAAACGUUCUUGAAGCCGCCCAAUGAGGCCAGACUUUAAGUCACGGGCUGGACGAGACCUCCUUGUAGCUGGCCCCUUCACCGGUGCAAAGGCAAGGGGGCUUGGCUCGCAAGGAGGCAAACCUUGACUUUCUGCCCCCGUUUCUUCCGUUGGGGGUGCCGUAGGAGGCAAUGCUUCAGCACGAGAGGCCCCGGCUACAUCCGCGUCCGGAUGGGGAGAGCCGGGCUGGUUCACUGAAGUCGCCUCCUCAAAUAGAAGGGUCAGCCGUCCAGCCACUGGCAUCGAAGGCCCCGAAUGGUUGAGACCCCCGAGACGUCCGGAGCCGCUUGAAACAUAAGACAAGAUGGGGAGAUCUGGCAUUCUUAUUAUUAUUCCUCCCCUUACGAAAGUUGGAGCUGGUAUUACAACUUCCUAUGGGGGAGUUGGGAGUUUUAUUUUUUUUCCCUUAUUUAGAACCAACUUCUUCUUCUUUUUUGCUGGAGCGCCAACAGGUGGAGAGGACGCGGGGCGUUUAUCACCAAGAGCCUUCCGCAAAAGUCAUUCUUGUCUUUUCUUCUCCCGUUUGUUGAGGCAGGCUUUGCGUGACCGGGCGUCUGUCUUCCGCACCGUCGCGUAGAAUGGGAGAUCUUUGAGAACGAAGUGCUCCCCAGCCACCACCUCUUUGGGCAGCCGCCUCGGAAGUAUGUUCAGCACGUACGGCUGGGGCUCCUGGGUGACCGAGCGGAGAUUCUGCACGGAGAGAAGCAUUUCACAACUCCGCUCGGCCGCCGCAAUCUCAAAAAGCCUGUUCAAACGGUCGAACGAGGCUUUCUCCACCCAUUCCACCAGCUUCCCCCUUUUAUCCUGGCCUGCACCCAAGAAAGCAAAGUAUGUCAGCCACCUAACAAUGCUGACCUAAACUCACAAACCACGGAAAGACAGGAAGUAAUUUAGUCAUACCUAGGACCUUAAACGACUGGUUGGGAGCGAACAGCCUAUCCGGAUGCGCCGCCAAACCCGCCCAUAGGCCCUUGACCAGCACAUGUCCCCUGGCGGCCCCCUUGGUUAAGUCCGGAAGGCUGGUCACCAACUAAAGCGAUGGAAGGCUCGCGACAAAGCUGAAGAUGUCAUUUUUCACCUCUUGAUCGAAUAAAUGAAGAGAACCUCCAGCAGUGAGAGAUCCAGAUUGAACAGCAUGACCAGAAUGCUGCACCCCAUCAACACCCGGACCAUGUUGGGAUGAAUAUAAGCCGGAGGAAUCUGGGUGAAGUGAAGAAACUCCUUGAACAACGACAGCAGGGGGAACCGGAGCCCAACAUUGAACUGCUCAUUGGUGAAGAAGAUAGCGUUGUCCUCAGUUUUCUCAGUCGACACGGCCUCUCCAUCCGUAAGUUCAACGAAUACGCCAUUUGGGAUGCAGAACCGUUCGCGAAACUCCUUCACAUUCAACUUAUCCACGGAUUUCUCAGCAUGAGCAUCUCCAGACGAGCUAGAUGAAGUAGCUUCCUUGUUCGCAGACAUUUUUUAGGUUGGGGCUGAAAUGGAAUCUGCAUGGAAGAAUGCCAACAGUCAAACACAGUAAUCCGACCCCACAACCUUAAACUCUACCCCAAAGAAGAAUCGAUGGCCCACAAAAGGCACAGGAGGGCAACAGAAACCCUAACCACACCCAAAACACGAUCAAAACCCCCCGAAAAAAGCUCUAGAAAACCAAUACCGACUCCCAAUCGCAAAGAAACUUGCCCAAACAAACCAAAAGCAAAACCACAAAGCAAACACAACGAAGAUAAGACAAGAAUAGCGAACGUACCGAGUGUAAACUGGAAAAAUGGGAUGAAAUCCGCAGUGCAGUCACCGUCACGACGCGAAUAUUGCAGGCAGAAAACCCUAGAGCUUCACUCGAAAACGAAGAUACGCAGAAGGUAGAAGAAAAAACACUAACAGGAAAAAACGCAGAAGGAAAAAUGCAAGAGGAGGCACAGUCUGCUAUUUAUAGUGAGACAACCCCUCGGUAUCCCAAACGCUCAGCCACACCAUCAUUGAAACGACACGCUGCCUAGGAAUACCUAGAGACGACGACUCAUCAUAAAUGUUCUUCCCUCUCUCUUCGCCCCCGCUCGCCACGUGGCCCAAUGAGCACCAAAAAGAAACCUCAGUUUCAAAAAACAAUUAUUUUUAACCCGCCCAUUCUGCUCAGGCAAAAUCGGCAAGUUAAAAAGGGGGGCAUUUUAGGGACCCCUCCUCCUAAUGACACAUGACACACAUUUCCUGAUGACACGUGACACGCAUUCUUAUCCGGAUUAACCCCAUCUGGAUUUCCCCCAAAAGUACACGUGGUGCGCUUCUCCUAUUCGGACUCUCUCAGGGAGAGGCACACGACACUCACAAACAUAACAUCCGGACGACCGACAUAUCCUAUCCGGAUAUGUUUGUCUGGAUCAUUGACAGAAGUAAGCAAGUCUUGCAUGUCAUUACAACAGUCUGCCAUGGUCCAUGUUUCGCCACCUGUAGAGUGAAAGGACAUGAAUGAAAUGAUGACAAGUCACCUCCAACGAUCUCUGACAACCGCGACGCCUCCCACGAUCUCUGUCAGCCGCUCGUAGGGUGAUGAUGACCCUGCUACCACUUAGAGGCAUCAUGACAAGCCAAAAUAUCUCCCUACCAUUAAAGAGAGAGACAGAACUUCUGAUACUAUAUAUAUGGACCUUCACACAAGGAGAAAGGUAAGCUUGCUAUACCUAAUAAAAGGCCAACUGAUUUAUCUCUCUAACCAUGGCUGACAAAACCAUCGAAGGGUGUGUCCGGACACCCUGUCCGGACGCCUUUUGCAGGAACUACUGAACUAGGAAUCUAUAUUGGUUGAGAUCGUGCGUCCAUCCAUUUGUCAAUUACGUGGAUCACCAGGGACGCGAUGCCUCAACAGUGGCCACCUAAAGCAAAUGCAAAGAGGAUGUCCCCCCAGUCUUGGAUGAAAAAAGACGAAACAAAAAGCAAGAAUUUAGAGAGAAUGAAAAGUUUUUUGGCAUGAGGCGUUGAGGCCAGACCAUAAAGCUUUGAUUAGAUAGUGUCAAGCGCGCUGACAGCGGUGUUACGUAUGUCACAUUGCUUUUAUUUUAUUUUUUUAAUUAUUAUUAUGAUAUUCGUUGAAAGAUUCUAGAGAUAUGAUGAUGUUAUUGGCUGCAUGUUAGUUAGUAGGGGAAUGCUGUUCUGGUUUGUCCUUUUGGGAAAAACAAAAACUAGAAUAGGACAAAAGAUGAUUCUUCUGGGAUGAGAAAGGACCAAGCAAAAAGCAAGAAUUUAGAGAGAAUGAAAAGUUUUUUAGCACGAGGCGUUGAGGCCAGCAGACAAACAGUGACUGUGUGGUGGGCCCGGGUGAUGAAUUCUCUUGUCUCGUGCUUGGAAGAAGGUAACGCGUGUGUGAUCGGCCUUAUCUAUCUUAUUUGUUCUAUUUUCUUCCAUUAAUUUCAUGUUUUAUGUUUUUUUUAAAAAUUAAAAUGUAUUUACAAAAUAUAUUUGAAACAUAAAUAUAUUUACAGCAAUCAACACUCUUCACUUUUUCCUCUUGAAAUUUUAUGUUUUAUGUACUUUUUUUUUCUUUUAAAAAAUGUGUGGGAUUCUCUUUCUUUGAAACGUGUGAGAAUAAUGAUGAAUAUGGACUUUAGAUGAUGUCAUACGAUGUUCUAAUAUAAAAAGCUGAUUGUUGGCACUUAAAUUUGUCCUUUUUCCUUUUCCUUCCCUCUUCAUUUGCAUAGAUUAAAAAAAGCUUAGAAAACAUUAUGAAGUGGAGUGAAAUCAGGCCUCACAGUAGUUGUAAUUCGUUGCACUGGUCUCUCCGAACGAUCUAGAAGAAGGGAACGCGUGUGCGGUUGGCCUUACCCAUCUUGUUGGUGCUAUUUUCUUGUUUUAUGUCAUUUAAAAAAAAAAUGUGUGGGAUACUCGUCUUUUGGCUAUAAAUCUCUGAAUCUUAGUUCUCGCAUGACUUUGGAGAUGUCACCUCCACUUUUUAAAUCAUUAUUGGCGUUCAGGUGAUGUUGGUCUAAGCGACACAAAAUCUUUUCUUCUGCCUUUAGUUCUCUCUCUUAUUUGUCUUCUCCUACAACUUUUGGUCUUUCAGAUCAGUUUUUCUGAACUUUUCAAGAAAGCAUCUCUAUAUCAAUUCAAAAUUAAUUGCAGUGAGAAAGUGGAUAUCCCUCUCCUUUUGGUGGCUGGUGAAAAGUUAUGAAAUCGAGGUAUAUUAUAAGUUUUUGACAUGAUUUCUCUCUCUCUCUCUCUUCUCGUUUUCCAACAAUGCAAUCUUCCACUCUUAAAAUUAAUUCAAGAAAAUGUGAAUUAAUCAUGCCAAAUAUUCAAAUAUGAAUGGGUAAUUUUAAUAAAAUAAAAAUUUCAUUGCCACCUUUAUUGAUAAAAAAAAUCAUUUUCUUUUCAAGGGAAAACAAAAUUAAAGAAUUUUAGGUCAAACAAGGAAAGAGGGACUCGGAUGAUCCGAGUAUGCUUUUAUAUAUAUAUAUAUAUAAUAAGGGGUCAUUAUCAGAAUGUCAUUAUCAGAGAGAGAGAGAGAGAGAGAGAUUUCCUCUAAAAAAGAAGGAGAAUUACCCCAAAAGAGUGGGUUAGAAAAACUAAUGACUAUAAAGGCUCACUCUUUUGGAGGACAAUUUUACGCUUUAAUAUGUUUUUUAUAUUAUUUAUAAAUAAAUUGAGAUUGUCAAUGAUGUGGGGCUCAUACAUGAUGAUAAGUACAUGUUGAUAGGCAAUCAACAGUACAUUUUUCAACUUAAAAAAAUUGUUAUCACUUUUGAACAAUUAACUAUUUAAAAAUUUGUUUUUUUUUUAAAUUGAGAUUUUUUAAAGAAUCUUGUAAAAAAAAUAUAAUUUUUAAUGUCUCAUAAAUAAAAACCAUAUCCUAAAGUUAUUAUAUCGUUUUAUAUAUAAAACAUACAAUUAAAAAACUUUGUUAUCAUAAUAUAAUAAAUAAUUCGUGAAAAAAUUAAAUAAAAAUAAAUUAAAUUAUGUUAUAAUAUAUUGUAAUGAUAGUGUAUUUAUAUUGUAAGUAUAAUGCAUUUAUAUCGUACCUAUAUUUCAUUAUAAAAGUAAUAAUUUUAAAAAUGUUUAUUCAUACCCUAUUGGUAUUAACAUAUCGUAUUAAUAUAUUAACAACAUUUAUUUAGUGUUUUGAAAUUAUUUAAUAAUUUUUGUAUAUAUAUAUACAAACUACGUGAAUUCAAAUUAGUAUUUCAUUUUAUUUCAGAAAUUAUUUAUGGUAUAGGUAUGUUGUGAAAUAUGGUAUGAUCAUACAAAAUUACCAUUUUUAUAAAAAAAUUCAUAAAUUUCUUAAUUAGGUUUUAUUGUAAUGUAUUGUAAUGUAAAUGUAUUUAUAUUGUAAUUAUAAUAUAUUUUUUUUGUGCUUGUAUUAUAUAAUAAAAGUAAUAAUCUUAAGGAUCACUUUUUGUACCUUAUUAAUAUUCAACAUAUCAAAUAUAUUAACAUUAUCCACUCGAUGCAUUGAGAAAAAAAAUUUAUAUGAAAAUUUAAAAAAAAAACACUAUGCAAAGGAAAAAAAAUUAUAUAAUUUUUUUAAAAUUAUUUUAUUAUAAAAAUAAAAAAUGAUUAAACAUUUUCUAUCAUUUUCUUAUUAUUUUUAGAGAAUCUGAAUGAAAAAUUAAAAAUUUUAUCUUCCUUAAAUUUAAUACAAAAACAUAAUUUAUCAAUUUAAAAUUAUAAUAUAUAUAUGAAAAAAUCAUCAUUUUUAUUAUAUAAUUAUAAAACUUAUUUUUUUCUUCAUAAAAUAAAAAAUUAGAAUAAAAAUAAAAUAAAAAAGUAAAAAAACAAUAAAUGAUAUUUUGAAAAUAUUUUUUAAAAGUAUUUUUGUUUUAAAUAGUAAAUUUAAAUAACAAAUUAUAUAUAAUUGUAAGGGUUAAACCCAAAAUUUUGAUUUAAAAUUUAAAUAUUAAUAAUUACAAUAAAUGUGGAACCCAUAUACCAUAAAUGUAUUGACAAAUCAAGUGAAGUGCUUUAAAUGCUUUGAAUUUUAAAAGUUUUAGUUAAAGGGCAGUUUUGGUAUAUUAAGCUUACUAAAGUCCUCCCCAAUAAUUAUUAAAAGAUACCACCCUUUCUAGUAAUUGUUUUACCUAGCCUACCCUUUUAGGUAAUUCUCCCAAAAAAAAUUAUGAGAUUGAAAAGACAGGUAGAGUAGGUCUAACUUCUUCUAUUGCUGUCCCUGCUAACACAUGGCUCUUUGCUGCCGCCUUUUUUUUACCAUGGAAAAUAAUCUCUCUUUCUCUCUUCUUCCUGGAAUUAACUCUUUCACAACUCAGAAACAAAUUUUCUUUUCAAGUUGAAAACAAUGUUCUAUUUUCUUGGGGUAUUCAAACAACUCAAAGAUGAAUUUGUCAAUAUGUCUUUGCAAUAUGUCACCCACAGUUAAGGCUAAAAUUGUUAGAUGGAGUUGGAGAACCUAGGGCAUUGGCUAAAGUAUUACCCUUUGAUGAUAGCAUGUUGAUAAGGAUAUCGACACUGAUAAGGAAGAUAAUGCUUGACAACUGCUAUCUUACCAUUAACCUUUUAACACAACUCUAGUAGGGAUUGACCGUUGAUUCCAGGACCUGUAUAAAAGUUUUCCUUUUUACCUCUCUUGUAUAUGUAUAUAGUAUAUACAAAAGCUUUUAUCAAUCCGCUGGCAUAGUCAUGUUGGGCUUUGUGGAGCCUAGUUUUGUUUGAUCUGGUUUAACGACCCGACCCGAAUAAUAUUGCAUGGCUUUUUAAUGGGAGAUUUAUUGAGGCCUAUUGGGCCCGUUUAGCCCAUCGUGGAACCACCUUUUGUAAUUAGGAUUUUUUAGUAUAGUGGGGUUGCCGUGUUAUAUAUAUAGAGAGAAUAUUAUAGCCGCUAUAUUGUACUAUGUAUUCUUCCUUGAUAAUAGUGAUAUCCCUGCAACUCCGUGGAUGUAGGCAAAUUGCCGAACCACGUAAAUACUGUCUUGUGCGUGUGAUUGUUUUUCUUUGGCAUGUGUUUUCUCUAAUUUUUUGUUUCUCACAGGUUGGGAAUUCGGUUUAAUUCCCUACAACUGGUAUCAGAGCCUAGGGUUAGGUUUGGGUGGGAGCAAUGGCAGAGGAAGCAGGAAAGACGUCUGGAAUAGAAAAGUUUGAUGGCACAGACUUUGCGUAUUGGAGGAUGCAUAUUGAAGAUUAUCUCUAUGGAAGGAAAUUGCAUCUGCCUUUUUUGGGGACAAAACCUGAGAGUAUGAAGGCUGAGGAAUGGGCGCUUCUUGACAGACAGGUUCUAGGAGUUAUUAGGUUAACUUUGUCUAGGUCUGUUGCACAUAAUGUUGUAAAGGAAAAGACCACAACAGAUUUGAUGAAGGCUUUGUCCAAUAUGUAUGAAAAGCCGUCCGCAAACAAUAAGGUGCAUCUGAUGAAGAAAUUGUUCAAUUUGAAGAUGGUAGAGAAUGCAUCAGUAGCACAACAUCUGAAUGAAUUUAAUACAAUCACAAAUCAAUUGUCGUCUGUAGAAAUUGAUUUUGAUGAUGAGAUUCGUGCUUUGAUCGUCUUGGCUUCUUUGCCAAAUAGUUGGGAGGCAAUGAGGAUGGCAGUAAGCAAUUCGACGGGAAAGGAAAAGCUCAAGUACAAUGACAUACGAGAUUUAAUUCUGGCUGAGGAGAUUCGCCGAAGAGAUGCAAGUGAAACCUCAGGAUCUGGUUCUGCCCUAAACCUUGAGACAAGAGGCAAAGGUAAUGACAGAAAUUCAAAUCGGGGUAGAUCAAAUUCCAGAAAUUCUAAUCGAAACAGAAGCAAAUCUAGAUCAGGCCAACAAGUACAAUGCUGGAAUUGUGGGAAAACAGGUCACUUUAAAAGGCAAUGCAAAAGCCCUAAGAAGAAGAAUAAAGAUGAUUCUGCUAAUGCUAUAACAGAAUAGGUACAGGAUGCAUUACUUCUUGCAGUAGAUAAUCCACUUGAUGAUUGGGUUUUGGAUUCAGGAGCUUCGUUUCAUACCACUCCACAUCGAGAAAUCAUACAGAAUUAUGUUGCAGGUAUUUUUGGUAAGGUGUAUUUGGCUGAUGGUUCAGCCUUGGAUGUUGUGGGUCUGGAAGACUUCCGGAUAUCGUUGCCCAAUGGGUCUGUUUGGUUACUGGAGAAGGUUCGACAUAUUCCUGACCUGAGGAGGAAUCUGAUUUCUGUUGGACAACUUGAUGAUGAAGGACAUGCAAUACUAUUUGUUGGUGGUACUUGGAAGGUUACAAAGGGAGUUAGGGUAUUGGCUAGUGGAAAGAAGACUGGUACUCUGUAUAUGACCUCAUGUCCAAGAGACACAAUUGCAGUUGCUGAUGCAAGUACUGAUACAAGCCUAUGGCACCGUAGACUUGGUCACAUGAGUGAGAAAGGGACGAAGACGUUGUUGUCAAAAGGAAAACUACCAGAAUUGAAGUCCAUUGAUUUUGACAUGUGUGAAAGUUGCAUCUUAGGAAAGCAAAAAAAGGUGAGCUUCUUGAAAACUGGCAAGACACCAAAGGCUGAAAAAUUGGAACUAGUACACACUGAUUUGUGGGUGCCUUCUUCAGUUGCAUCCCUUGGUGGUUCAAGGUACUACAUCACUUUUAUUGAUGACUCAAGCAGAAAGGUAUGGGUUUAUUUUCUAAAAAAUAAAUCUAAUGUAUUUGAAACUUUUAAGAAGUGGAAGGCCAUGGUUGAGACAGAAACGGGUUUGAAAGUAAAAUGUUUGAGGUCAGAUAAUGGAGGAGAAUACAUAGAUGGAGGGUUCAGUGAGUAUUGUGCUGCACAGGGAAUUAGGAUGGAGAAGACUAUUCCUAGGACACCACAACAGAAUGGUGUGGCUGAGUGCAUGAACAGAACUCUUAAUGAGCGUGCUAGAAGUAUGAGGUUGCAUGCUGGACUACCAAAAACUUUUUGGGUUGAUGCUGUUAGCACUGCAGCUUACCUGAUAAACCGAGGACCAUCAGUUCCCAUGGAGUUCAGACUUCCUGAAGAGGUUUGGAGCGGUAAAGAGGUGAAGUUUUCACAUUUAAAAGUUUUUGGUUGUGUUUCUUAUGUUCAUAUUGAUUAUGAUGCUCGUAGUAAACUUGAUGCAAAGUCAAAAAUAUGUUUUUUCAUUGGCUAUGGUGAUGAGAAAUUUGGCUAUAGGUUUUGGGAUGAACAAAAUAGGAAAAUCAUCAGAAGUAGAAAUGUGAUAUUUAAUGAACAGGUUAUGUACAAGGACAGGUCAUCUGUAGUGUCAGAUGUUACAGAGAUAGAUCAAAAGAAAUCUGAGUUUGUCAACUUAGAUGAAUUGACUGAAAGUACUGUCCAAAAAGGGGGUGAAGAAGAUAAGGAGAAUGUAAAUUCAUAGGUAGAUCUAAGUACACCUAUAGUUGAAGUUCGCAGAUCUUUUAGGAACAUUAGACCUCCGCAGCAUUAUUCACCUGUUUUAAAUUAUCUCUUGUUGACUGAUGGUGGUGAGCCAGAGUGUUAUGAUGAAGCCUUGCAAGAUGAGAAUUCAAGCAAGUGGGAGUUAACCAUGAAAGAUGAGAUGGAUUCCUUGUUGGGGAAUCAAACAUGGGAACUAACUGAAUUACCAGUAGGAAAGAAGGCUUUGCACAACAAGUGGGUAUACAGAAUAAAGAAUGAGCAUGAUGGUAGCAAACGUGACAAGGCCAUAUUAGUUGUUAAAGGGUUCCAGCAGAAGGAAGGCAUUAACUACACUGAGAUAUUUUCACCAAUUGUGAAAAUGUCAACAAUCAGACUUGUACUGGGAAUGGUGGCUGUAGAAAACUUACAUCUUGAGCAGUUAGAUGUGAAGACAGCAUUCCUUCAUGGUGACUUGGAGGAAGACCUUUACAUGAUUCAGCCAGAAGGGUUCAUUGUUCAGGGACAAGAGAAUCUAGUCUGCAAACUGAGAAAAAGUUUGUAUGGCCUUAAACAAGCUCCUAGACAGUGGUACAAGAAGUUUGACAGUUUUAUGCAUAGAAUUGGGUUCAAGAGAUGUGAAGCUGAUCAUUGUUGCUAUGUUAAGUCUUUUAACAAUUCUUACAUCAUAUUACUGUUGUAUGUGGAUGAUAUGCUUAUUGCAGGGUUUGACAUUGAGGAAAUUAAUAAUCUGAAAAAGCAAUUGUCCAAACAAUUUGCAAUGAAGGAUUUGGGAGCUGCAAAGCAAAUCCUUGGUAUGAGAAUCAUUAGAGACAAGGCUAAUGGUACAUUGAAGCUUUCACAGUCAGAGUAUGUGAAGAAAGUUCUCAACAGGUUCAACAUGAAUGAAGCUAAACCAGUGAGCACACCCUUGGGGAGUCAUUUCAAACUAAGCAAAGAAUAGUCACCAAAGACAGAAGAAGAAAGGGACCAUAUGAGCAAGGUGCCCUAUGCCUCAGCUAUUGGCAGCUUGAUGUAUGCUAUGGUGUGUACAAGGCCAGACAUUGCACAUGCAGUGGGAGUUGUGAGCCGAUUCAUGAGUAGGCCUGGAAAGCAGCAUUGGGAGGCAGUCAAGUGGAUUCUAAGAUAUCUGAAGGGUUCAUUAGAUACAUGUCUUUGCUUCACAGGUGCAAGUUUGAAAUUGCAGGGUUAUGUAGAUGUUGAUUUUGCUGGUGAUAUUAAUAGUAGAAAGAGUACUACUGGGUUUGUUUUUACUCUAGGUGGUACAACUAUAUCAUGGGCUUCAAAUCUACAGAAGAUUGUUACUUUGUCUACUACAGAAGCUGAGUAUGUUACAGCAACUGAAGCUGGAAAGGAGAUGAUUUGGCUACAUGGUUUCUUAGAUGAAUUGGGUAAGAAGCAGGAGAUGGGCAUUCUACACAGUGACAGUUAGAGUGCAAUUUUUCUUGCCAAAAAUUCGGCUUUUCAUUCAAAGUCGAAGCAUAUACAAACAAAAUACCACUUUAUCUGUUAUCUUGUUGAAGAUAAACUGGUAAUACUUGAGAAGAUUUGUGGAUCUAAGAACCUGGCAGACAUGUUGACUAAGGGUGUCACUAUUAAGAAGUUGAAGCUGUGCGCAGCUUCAAUUGGUCUUCUAGCUUGAGGACAGGAGAAUGAGUUGUAGGGAUGAGGGAUUGUUUCUUAGAGGAUAGCGGUUUGAUGUUGGUGAUUGGACUAGUCUCCAAGUGGGAGAUUUGUUGGGCUUUGUGGAGCCUAAUUUUGUUUGAUCUGGUUUGACGACCCGACCCGAAUAAUAUUGCAUGACUUUUUAAUGGGAGAUUUAUUGAGGCCUGUUGGGCCCGUUUAGCCCAUUAUGGAACCACCUUUUGUAAUUAGGGUUUUUUAGUAUGGUGGAGUUGUCGUGUUAUAUAUAUAGAGAGAAUAUUAUAGCCGCUAUGUUGUACUCUGUAUUCUUCCCUGAUAAUAGUGAUAUCCCUGCAACUCUGUGGAUGUAGGCAAAUUGCCGAACCACGUAAAUACUGUCUUGUGCGUGUGAUUGUUUUUCUUUGGCGUGUGUUUUUUCUAAUUUUUGUUUCUCACAGGUUGGGAAUUCGGUUUAAUUCCCUACAAGUCACACAUGCCCACUUGCGCUCACUCUUCUUGUCCAAAGUUCAUCGCACUCUUGCUCAUCUAAUUAGCUCAUAAUUUUCUUUUUACAUAAAUAAUUAAAUAGCUGACUGUUGUAAGAAGGACCUGAGUCAGAAUGCUGCUUGGACUCAAACCAUGCAUCUUUUUCAUGAUGACCGACGUCACUCCCACAUCUGAAUGGAAUUUGACACAUUAUCUGAAGGGAUAUUUGGUUAAAAGGGUUAAAAUAAUACUCAUAUUUGCAAAACUAAUCUAUCCCUUGAAAAACAUAAAAAACGAUCCUAUUAUGAUAAAAAUAUCCUUUUCUUUUGCCUCGCUCUAAAACUUAACUUUUCUUCUUCUAUUUAUUCUCUUUUAGAUGUAGAGAACGAAUUUCUCAUUCUUCACAAACCCUAGAGAAUAUCCUAUUUAUCAUUCUUAAACCUCGAAAAACUUCUUACCUCUCAUUCCUUUUUUCAAUUCAAAUCUUAGAAAACCCUAGAAAUUUUCUUGUCUAUCAUUCCAAAACCCUAAAAAAUUUCUUAUCUAUCAUUCCUAACCCUAGAAAACUUUUCACCUCUCAUCCCUAUUUCAUUUCCAAACCCCUAUUUUCUUCACAAAAAAUGAGUUCAUUGAAGACUGAUGAGCCAAAGAGGUUUAAAAUAGUGGUGAUAAAACAAAAAUCUUAAUUACGAAUGGAAGAAAAAAGUGAAGCUACUCAACAGAAAUCACAAUUGCCAACGGAAGAAGAAAGUAAAUCUAUUGAGCUCGUGAGUGUAGUUAUCACAUUUCAUAAAAUUUUGAAAUUUUUAGGGAUGUUAUACAAUAAUGUUUGAGUAGGGUUAGUUUUGUUACUUGAAGAAUUUAAAAUUUUGGGAACUUAGGAGAAUCGAUGACUUCGUAUUAAUAUGACUACGUAUUAAUAUUGCAGAUAAUGGUUACCAACCAUUUCAUGCAAUUACAUAUGAUUAAGGAUGAGUUUUUUAACGAAUUUAUGAAAUUUUAGGGCUUUUAGAAUUUUUAGGGAUAUUAUGUAACGGUGUUUGAGUAGGGUUAGGUUUGUUAAUGAAUGAUUUUACAAAUUUGGGAACUACAAAAGUGUGUUGAAAAUAAUAAAAUUGUAUAUUAAUAUAUUUUUUUAGUUUUUUAUAUUAUUAUUAUUCUUGUAUUUAGACUUAAUUAGAUAUAUUCAAUGUAGUGAUAUUUGAUUAGGGAUAAGUUUUCACAAAAUUUAUGAAAUUUUAUUGAUUUUAGGGAGAUUAUGCAAUGGUGUUUGAGUAGAGAUAAGUUUGUUACUUGAUGCUUUUAAAAUUUUGGGAACUAUUGAAGUGUAUUCAAAAUAGUAAAUUAUAUAUUUAUAAUUUUCUUAGUUCUCUAUUGUUGUCGGUUAUGUAUUUGGAGUGAAUAAAAUAUGUAAUAAUCCCAUGCAAUGACAUAUGAUUAAGGAUACAUUUUUAGAGAAUUUAUGAAAUUUUAGAGAUUUUUGGAAUUUUUAAGGAUGUUAUGCAAGGCUGUUUGAAUAGGGUAAGGUUUGUUAAUUGAUGUUUUUAAAUUUUUGGGAACUAUUGGAGUGUAUCCAAAAUAAAAAAUUUGGGAAUUAAAGAUGAAAAUGUGGUCAAGUUAACCUUAUUGUACUUUCUCGAGCAUGUUUUACUUGGGAAAGAAGGAAAAAAAUUAACAGACAUGCAAUGCGUUAGUUUUGUUGAUAGUUUGGAAGGUUUAAGUAAAUAUCCUAAGGUAGAGUUUUUGUAAAAGAAUAUUUUUUUGGGCAACAAUGGGCCUUGGAGAAUUGAGUGUUAAAAUAUCAAGGUAAGAAGAAACAAAGGGAAAUAUAGCACAAGAGGGCAAAAUGAGCCAUGUGUUUUACAUAAUACAAGAUUUUCAAAAUCUAGUAUAAAGGGAAAAGAUAUCAAUAUAAACUAUGAUUCACAAUAUGACAAGUUUGAGAGUGUCAUGGAAGACAAGGAGGAUGAGAAUCACGCUUGUAUGGAUGUGAAAACCAAUAAAAAAUAUAUAACAAAUAUUGUAGUUGCAGAAAAACACAUAAUAAGGAUAGGAAAGGAUGAUGACGUGAGUUUUGAUGCAGUUGUUGAUAUUGCCAAAAUAUUUGAUACCCUUAGUUUAGUGGGUAAUUUUUCAGUUUAUGUAUUUCCAAAGCAGUUGUCCUCCAUUAUAUUUAAGCAAACGCGCAAGUUAAAGAAGUCCUAUUUUUUGCAACCUCCUUUGAUAAACCAUACAAAGAUAAGGAAAAUAAAAAAUGAGGGAGAAACAUCAUCUGACUUUAAUAAUUUGUAAUCUAUUUUCGAGGAAGCCAGAAAAACCUUUAAUAAGUGGUUAAGUCUUCUACAAGGGUAAUUUAUUUUUAAUUCAAACUUGUAAAAAUUUGUUUUUGGCAAGUUUUUAGUUUGACCAUGGUUUUUUUUUAUAUCAAUACAAUAAGGUCUAUGGUUGAAAUCGAUUACUUGCAUGCGGACCAAGAAUGGUUUCAAUUACUAGUUCAACAUGGUGCAUGGCUUAAAGACACACAUUGUAAAUGUUCUUAUUGUCUUUGCUUUUACUUAUCAUUAUAUUGACAUUUCAAUCAAAUAGUAUAACUAAUGUAUUUUUGUAUAUAUUGUCUAGCAUAUUGAUAUUGCUUUCUACUUUUUCCCUAAGUAGGGAAUAGAAAAACCACAUGCAUUUUCUCAAAAUUUUACAACCGUAGACACCAUGUGUUGGGUAUGCAUAAUUUCUUAUUAUUAUUGAUCUUUAUAUUAUUAGAUAAAUUAUGUUAUUUUAACUAUUUUAACCUUUUUUAUAUAACAAAAUGUUAAAGCAAGGUGAGAGAAACAUGCUAAAAAAUGGAAUCAACUCUAAAUGCAAGCCAAUGAUGUUCUUGUUGACUAUGCUAAUAAGCUUCACCCAAUUCCUUCCACAAAACGGUCUAAGGUGGACAUUAUCUACAUCCUUAUUAAUAUUCAAAGUAUGCAUUGGAUAUUAGGAGUAGUUCAUCUUACUUAGAGGAAAAUUUUAUGUAUGACUCAUUGAUAGACAUUAAUAAUGAUAAUUGAUCGAAGGGUGCCAUCACAGUUUUAGCUAGAUUGUUAUGGCAUAUACUACAUGUCAUAGCAUAUUAUGAGGAGAAUUGUGAUCCUAAGGGUGACCAAUAGUGGGACAUUGAAUGGUUGCAUGAUGUUCCUCAACAAGAAUAUUAGUAAGUAAACAAAUAUCUAAACAUUCAUCUUAUCAUUUUACUUUUGUCUUAUACAAUAAAUUUUUUAUAAUGAUCUUAAAUUUGAUUCUUUGUGUUUCAUGCAACGGUAAUUAUGGAAUAUUCUUAAUAAAAUAUGUCAAGUACUUGAUGCAAAAUCAUCCAUUCAUCUCACAAACUGGUGCCUGUAUGGAUUGGUUUUGAGAGAAAAUGACAACUAAAUUAUUCUACUUCAAAAAUUUGCCUCUAUAGUGGGUUUGACUUUGACUAUGUAGUGGAUUUAUAUGUUGUUGAGGAUUGACUAUUAGUUUGGAUGAAUUUCACUUGGUGCUCCAAGUUAUAAUUUUUUUUUAAUGUAGCUUAUUAUGUUCUAAGCUUAUUUUGAACCAAAGUGGACAUUGUAAUUAUAAUAUUAUACAUUUUGUUAUUAUCACUUUAUGUGUCGUUGAGAGAUACAUAACCAAAAGUUAUGUGAAUUGUUUGAUUUACAAAACUUAAUUCAGUUGUUCUUUAUAAAUAAAUCUUAACUAUAGUUAAGUUCAUGUGAAAUUUUAGACCUCAAAACUUAACUGUAGUUAGGUUUAGGUGAACAUCUUGAUUUUGGGAAAAGAACUUAGCUAUGCAAUUUUUUUAAAAUGAAAAUCAUAAGGAGGUCAAAGUAAAGAUUUUAAUUCACAAUUUAAUAUAGGUAAAAUUAUCACAAUGAAAUACAAGUAAAGAUUUUUAAGUGACAAUUUAACCAUAUAGGUAAACAUUCUAAUUUUAGAUAACUUACCUAAUAGUUCCUUGCAAAUAAAACUUAUCCAAUUAAAGUGUAAGCUCUUUCUAAGAAAAAAUCAAUCAUAAGUUAAAAGGUUACAUAAACAUAUUUGUUAGAAAAAUUAGGCUAAUCCAACCUAUGGUAAUCACCUUAGAGGAAGGGGGGGGUGAAUAGGGUGAUGGCUUUUUUCUUUUGUAAAUUUAAAAUAUGUGAAUGGAAGAGACAAUUAUAUGCAAGUAUAUAAUAAAAAAAAUAUAAAGACAAUUGUAUAUAAAGUAAAAGAGUAGGGAAGAGAGAAUGCAAACACAAGAUUUUAUAGUGGUUUAGCGCAACCCGGCCUACAUCCACUCUCCUCUAGCUUCAAUCCCAAGCUUGAGGUUCCACUAAUUCAAGGCUUCCAAACCAAGCCUUCAAGCAAUACAAUUGGAUUAUAGUUCCAAGUCACCUUCUUGGACUUUUGGUUCCAAGCACCUUUACACUUCUCAAGAGAUACCUCACUCUUGAACAACCCCUCAAGUGAUAUCACACUCUUGAGAAACUUCCUCUCAAAGAUUUACAAAUAAAUGAUAUCACAAAAUCAUAGUACAAAAACUUUAAGCUCAAAUGAUACAAGAAAACUAGGAUUGAAAGGUGCACUAAUGAUAUGCAAGUUUUAGAACAAUGAUGCACAAAAAAAAAAAAAAAACACUCUUCCAAUGCUAAAAUAUAUUCAAGAAAGGUUUGGGAAGGUUAAGCUUAUGAAACAAUGAAGAUUGAAGCAUUUUUAUAGAAGAAAAAUACCAAACUAGCCAUUGGGGGUUCGGCCGGUAGAGUUGGGGGUUGACCUAUUGACUAGUCGUUAGCAUUUAAUGUUUGGCAGGUGACCGUUGGACCUCCACCACCCCUUGACCAGUUGAGGUAGGGGUCGACCGGUUGAACAACCGUUUUGGAAGAUAGAGAGUUUUUUGCACCCCUCGACCGGUUGAGCUGGGGGUCGACUCGAACUUUGAUCGGUUGAGCUGGGGGUCAACCUGUUCCUCGAUCGGUUCAACCGGUUGAGCCAUUUUUUUGGCUCAACAACCAUUCUUUUCAACUUAAAACCUUUUAAACAAGUUUGGAAAACAUUUGACACAGGGUUUUAGUUGAAAACAUGAAGUCAUCCAAUUUUUAAAAAAUAUUUAAAACAAAAUAACUCUUGGAUGAUUUUGGUGCAUAAGUAAAAAAUGUAAUGCAUGAAAAACCUAGUGCACCAACAACCUUACAAAGAGAUCUUAUGAAGCUUGGGUCUUGAAAAAUACUUCUCUUUGAGGUGGUCUUUUUCUUCAUGAUUUCUCCUUUACUUGAUUUGUCUUUGUGAUUGCCACUUUGGAAAUCAUCUUGCCUAUCACACUUGAAAUAUAAUUAUUAGUUCUAAACCUUAUUUUGUUAUCAUCAAAACCGAGAUUAACCAAACCUUGAUUUCACAAUUUUGAUUAACAACUUAAUUAGAGUGUAAGUACUCAGUUAAUGUAACUUAACCAUAGUUAAGUUCAGGUGAAAAUUGUGAUUGAGAACUUAACCCUACUUAAAUUCUUUGUUAAUGUAACUUAACCAUAGUUAAGUUCAGGUGAAUAUUAUGACUACAAACUUAAUCCUAGUUAAGUUUGUUGUUAUUGCCACUCAAUUAUAGUUAAGUUCAGGUGAAAAUUGUGACUGUAAACUUAACUAUAGUUAAGUUAUUUGUUAAUGCAACUCAACCAUAUAUAGUUAAGUUUAGGCAAAAAUUAUAACUGUGAAAUUAACCUUAAGUUCUUUAUAAAUGCAACUGAUUCGUCCCUAGCAACGGCAGUGGCAAUGGCACCAUUUGAUUCGGGGUUCGGUCCCCGGCAACGGCGCCAUUUGAUUCGUCCCUAGCAGCGACAGUGGCAAUGGCACCAUCUGAUUCGGGGUUCGAUCCCCGGCAACGGCGCCAUUUGAUUCGUGCCCAAUUGGUGUCUCAGCUGAUUCGUGUCUAGCUGGUGCUCCUUGAUUGAGGGAGUAAUCAACAAAAUUUAUAACCUAUUACACCAUAUACUAGGGUAGCAAAGACAAAGCUACUAUAGCAUAGUGGCUCUAGGAUCGUUCACUGGGAUGGGUUUUCACUUUGCAAAUGAUAUUAAUUCAAAGCUGAAUUGGUGCCUUUUCAUUUCAAGGUUAGCUUUAAAAGAAAACAUAAAGAUGUUUGAAUGAAAAAGGUUUAGAUUUAAACUAACCAAAAAUAGUAACUGAUUUUACUUACAAAGAAAAGUGUUUCUUGGAGUUUAGAUCACUAGGCUCAGGUUCCUCAUACAAAAAGGAGAGUUCCGGUCACUUGUUUCUUUUCCUCGCAUUAGAGAAUUAACAUAUAGUUCUUUCUCCAACCGGUGUUGUACAAAUGCUUCCCAUUAAUGGGUUCAAACACUAAAUCCCUCUCACUGAUGCACCUUGCAAUGGCGCAUGCCUCUCACCUAGCACUUGCCAUUCAAGAUGAUCUUUAACCUUGGAUUACCCGUCAAAAGCUCGCAAGAGAUAACUAAUGGAUGUCUCCUUGGAGUCCAAAAGCUUACCAAGUGUUGGCGAUUCUAGAAAAUCCUACCUUUAAACCACCUACCAAAGGCUCGCAAGGGGUAAACUAGUGCAUCUCUAUGGUUGGAGAUCACUUGCCUUACCAAGUGUUGGCCCAGGUGAUUUAAAGGCGUUUUAAGUUAACUAAAAAGAUAAAAACCAUUAACGGGUCACACUUUCUCUUCAUUAAAAACUAAAACAACAAAACUUCCAAAUUAUGCAUGUGGAAACUUACCCGGCUUUCCUCACUCCAAGAGACAAAGAAUCUAGCCUCUCAUCCUCUAAGGAAAAAUCCUCAGAGUUUGUUUGGCUAGCAAGAAAAAUAACGAGAAAACAAGAAUAUAUAUGAAAAACAGAGCAAGUGCUCUAUUCGUUGAUUCUAUAUAUGAUAUAUCUAUCUAUUUUACAUAUGAUGCUCUUACAGUGGAUGCAAGAGAAUAUAUAUAGAGACGUUUUUCCAACCUUCCUAACUAAGAAAUCUUAUGGUUGGUGGAUUACAAGGAGAAUAAUGGAAAUUCAUACAAAAAUAUCUGAAGAAAAAUAUCCCAAAGUGUCGGUAGCAAAUAUCGGGAGGCUUCAGGAACCAUUUCGCAAGAGAAAAUGGUGUCUGCGAGAUUUCGCAGACACUCAAGAGGGGCUGCGAAAUCACUUCGCAACAACAUGCUAAACUCGCAGGGCUGCGAAGUUGGCUCCCACCUUGAGGUUCCCAGCUUCCUUCUCGCGGUAUAUGUCGGGCAAAUUCAGAAGGAAAUACACCCUACUGUACAAAAAGGCUGCGAAAUCAUCUCGCAACAAAAGGGUGAUUUCGCAACACUUUGCAAAUUUCUUCCUUCAACUUAGAGUGAUCGACUUGCAGUGGCUGUAACUUCUUCUUUUCAACUCCAAAUUGCGCACUGUUUGAAGCAUUGGAUUGUUGACUUCCUGAGCUUUGAAAUGGUAUAUAGCAUGUACAAAAUGGACUUCGGGAAGUGCUCCAAAAGUGUGCAAGAAGACUGCAGCUGCUGUCCUCUGUUUUCUUCACUCUGUUUUUCCUCUCUCCUUUGUUCUUUCCUUGCAUACUUUGAACGACUAAGGCAAAGGAAUAUGAGGCUCCAAAGCUUGGUUCUUCAUGAAUUUGAGCUUCCAAAAGCUUUGUCAUAACUUGUCCAAGUAGCUCCUCCAUCAUUUGGCAUGCUUGAAUUGAUUCAUAAGCUGAUAAAAACAUGUAAACUUGCCAUAAAAUGGUUAAAACCAAAUACUAAGGACCUUAAUGAAUUAAUUGGGUUAAAUGAAUAUGAUUACUACUCAAAGGUGCUUAAAACCAUUAUAAUUAGGUCUACAAAAUAGCACUUUUUGGUAGUAAUCAGCAACCCAACUAUAGUUAAGUUCGAGUGAAAAUUAUGACAAUAAACUUAACCAUAGUUAAGUCUUUUGCAAAUGCAAUUGAACUAUACUUAAGACCAGGUGAAAAUAAGAUCAUUUUCUAUAUUCAUGAUGCUGUGAAUUUCUAGUAUCUAAGUUGUUUUACUACUUGAAUCCCUUGUCAUAUAAAUAAAGUUAAGCCUCCAUUAAUAUAGUUUAUAACGGCCUUGGGGGCGGCUGGGGCUCUGGGGGCUCCAGGGUUGUGAUGUUGGGAAGUGACUUUUCCUCCAGCAUCUGAGCAGAGGUAUUGCUUUAGAUGUCCUGCCUUGAUGAGCCUCUCGACCAGAUACUGGAGGCUUCUGCAUGUUUCUGUCGUAUGACCGUGUUCUUUGUGGAAGGCACAUCUCUUGCUAUGAUCCCUUGUGGAUGGGUCUGUUCCUUGGGGUCUGGGCCACUUGAAGUCGGAUAAGCCUUGGAUCAUAGGGAGAAGUUUUUCAUAUGAUAUGGAAAGAGGCGUGAGGGGCGGCCUAUCCUGGCGACUUGGUCCCUCCUGCCUCCGAUCGGACAACCUUGGCCGGUCCGGGGGUUUAGCAUUUCUUUCUGGGUCACCUCUAGACGCCCGUCCGGUAACCAAAACUUGCUGGGUGGCUGCACGCACAUCAUCUUCGAGCAUUGAAUAUUUGUUGGCACGUCUGAACAAGUCGUCCAUCAUUGUAGGAGGCUUUUUGGCUAACGAUUCGAAAAAUGGGGUGUCUGGACAGAUGCUUCGUUUGAAGAUCUGUAGGACAACAUCCAUGCUACAAGCCUCUACCUGAAGUACGGCUUGAUCAAAUCGCUUCACAAACUCCCUUAAGGAUUCAUUAUCUCGCAUUUUUAUGUUUUGCAGAGUGCUAAUGUUCUGCUUGUGUCGGGCGGAGCACAAGUAUUGUCCCACAAAAGCUUCGGACAGGUCCCUGAAAUUGCCAAUAGAGUUGGGAGGUAGGCGAUGAAACCAUGAGAGGGCCUGUCCUUGCAAGCUGGCGGGAAAUACUUUACACAGUAGUGCGUCGUUGCCAAUAUCGAGCGUCAUGAGCUGUCGAUAAUGCAUGAUAUGAUCGAAGGGAUCGUUGGUCCCGUCGUAUAUGGAAAAUUUUGGUACGAGGAAUCCCCUUGGGGGCUCGUAAUGAAUGAUAUGAGAGCAAAAAGGCGUGGAGAGCAUGUCAUCUAGCCUUUUGCUGAUGGAACCAAUGGGUGGCUCGUUUGGGAGGUUUCUCCCAUGUUGUUGUACCGCUAGGUGCGGGUGAACGUUCCGCAUCAUGGGGGUGAGCAUGGGGUCACGAUGCGGGAGCACGUUCUGCACCAUGGGGUUUAUCAUAGGGUCGGGGCGCGUUGCCCCAGUUGUGGCUACUGGUGGCCUUGGUCUCCCAGGCUCUUGUGGGCCUAGUCUUGCGCGCAUUGAAUUUGACAACUGAGAUCUUCUAUCGCGUUGUCUUUUCGCUGAAAAAUGAGUAGAGUCCGAGCUUUCCUCACGAAGAGCUCGAGGCAUAGGCGUGUGUGGCUCAUGAGGCCUCACGUUGCAUGCUCCUGGGAUAGCUCCUGCUGUUCCAGGAUAUAUAGACUUUGGCUCUGGCCCCGAGUUUGCUACUUGGCUUCUUGAACGCUGACGACGAGGGGGCCCUGAUGUUGAGACCUGGAUGCGUAAUACAACGUUUUCUUCUCUUAAUCUUUCUGUCUCCUGGAGGAGAACUUUCAGUUGUCGUUCGCUUGCCAACUAUCUUCUUUCGAUGGCUUGGCGCCAUUCAGAAUUAUCUUCUUCUCCCCUACCAGAUGAACGGCUUCGGGAAGGUGUGGCCAUCUUUACUGGUGACUGAAUCAGUGAAAAAAUUUCCCACAGACGGCGCCAAUGUUGAGGCCUCGCGUCCCUGGUGAUCCACGUAGUUGCCAAAUGGAUGGGCGCACGAUCUCAACCAAUAUAGGUUCUUGAUUCAGUCAUUCCAUCUGCAAAAGACGUCCGGACGGGGUGUCAGGACGCACCCUCCGAUGGUUUUGUCAGUCAUGGUUAGAGAGAGAGAUAAAUCAGUUGGCCUUUUACUAGGUAUAGCAAGCUUACCUUCCUCUUUGUGUGAAGGUUGAUAUCUAUAGUAUCAGAAGCUUUGGUUCUUCUUUAAUGGUGGGGAGAUAUUUUGUGUUGUCAUGAUGACACUAGGUGGUGACAGAGCCAUCAUCACCCUACGGGCGGUUUUGACAUAGAUCGUGGUAGGUGAUGCGGCUGUUAGAGAUCGAUGUAGGUGAUCAUGUGAAAUGAUCAUGGGAAGUGACUUGUUGUCACUUCAUCUUGUCCCUUCACUCUGUAGGUGGCGGAACGUGGGCCAUGGUAGGCUGUUGUGAUAACGUGUAAGACUUGCUUUACUUCAGUCAAUGACCCGGACAAUCAUAUCCGGAUGACCUAUGUUGGUCAUUCGGAUGUAUUGUGAAAGCCGUCCAGAUGUCUAUGUUUAUAAGUGUCGUUUGAACUUCCUUGAGUCAGUCCGGAUAUGAGGGGCGCAUCACAUGUAUCCGGAUGGGGGUGAUCCGGAUGGUAAUGCGUGCCAUGUGUCACCAUGAGGUGCGUGGCACGUGUUCUCAGGAGGAGGGGUCCCUACAGUUUACAUCCCUUAACAUCUUUUUGUGGCCAACAAUGAAGAAUAGAUGAAAGAAUAGUGAGAACUUAGGUUUUUCUUGGGCACGGAAACAAAAAGAAAAAGCAAAAUGAUGAUUGAAUAAAAAAGCAAAAAAAUGAUAUAUAAAAUAGAGAGAAAGUUGUGUUGGAGGAAACAACAAGAAGGGACAUUUUUGUCCUAUUCAAGUCAUUUUUUAUGUUUUUUGAGAGAUGGGUUAGUUUUACAAAUAUGAGUGUUAUUUUAACCCCUUUAACCAAAUAACCCUUAUCUAAAUGCCAAGAGGAUUGGGUCGAUUUUCAUUCACCCUAGCAAUGGCAUGAUGGUUCAAACUUCAAAGGACCUAACUAGUCUUUACAAAUCAACCACUCCUUCCAAGUUCACACAGCGUGUAGUUAAUGUUCCAUAUAAAUCAUAACUAACAUACAUCUAAAAUGUUAUUUUUAUUUUUUUAAUAUCAUAUCUUUUAUUUCUGGUAAAAGUGAAAACAAAUUAUGAAGUAUUUUGCACCUAAUUUUUUUGUAGAUUUAGCUUUACUAAAGUUUAAAAAUAUGUGUGGCUUUGGUCUAACUUCUUAUUAAAGUUUAAAAAUAAAAAACUAGCUAUCCCGGGACUUAUAACAUAAUCAAAAGGGGUCUUAAUUAACAAAAACUUUUUGUUCCACACAACCCUAAUUUAUAUUCCCAUAAUAAUUAAAAAAAUCAACUACUAAAUUAAUAAAAGUAAUAAAGAUUGUUUACAUAUAUUGAUAAUCAAAUCAACCUUCUCACUUUAGACAAAAAAACCCUAAGACGUCAUUCUGUUGAGUUGAUCAUCAAGAACUUAACACAGACACCACGCCAAGAAGUACUAAACACAAUUGAACUUUACACCAUUUUCAUCUUCUUCUUCAAAGAUUAAUUACUGGACUUGUCUCUUGACAUUCAAUGCAAAACACAGCACAACCUUACUUAAACUAACCCACUUCUUCAACCCCAUACUGUACUUCCCACCUCUUGGAUCCACUACCAUUGUUUCAACACCCUCUCCUCCUUCCACCUCCCUCUUCUCCUCCUCAGAUAGCACCCCCCAUAGCACCUCACUCUUUAGAAUGAAAAAUUAGUUCUGACUCGCAUCAGUGUUUGACCGUUCUAGUAUCUUUCUGGUAACAAAACCUGAUCCUUCCCCUCCAUGUUAUGAAUCACCUGCAGCAGUGGAAAAGGUAAUGAGGAGGGAGGUAAAGGUGGUGACGUCGGGUUUUCUUGAUUGCGCUCCUCCUCCUUUCAGGAACAAGGUCGUGUCCAAAUAUCCUCAUGGACUUUGUCUUCUUUGUUCUCUUGGCUUCUCGUUCCUUUUCAUGUGGCUCCAUUUCCGUUUCUGGUUUUUUUUCAUUCGGCUUACACUCCAUCUUCAUUUCUUGUUCUCUUGGAAUUCACAGCCACUAGUUGUUCAUCAAUGGAUUCAGGUGCAAAAAGAAGCAACUCUUAUAUACCUAAAUACGUUUGAAUGAACUUGUGAAGAGCUGGAUAUUAUUUCCCAGAACAUUUUGAGCAUGGACUUGAAUACUAAUGAGACCAAUGAAUGCACCACCAGCUGUUUUGGUUCAAUUCAGAUGCUCUUUUCACUUGUUCAAACGCAGUUCCUCAUUGCCCCUGACCUGAAUUUCCCAAACCAAACAUCAAAUAAUGGAGGUGGAUCAGAUAAGAUCCAAUAUCAAAUUGCUGCCAUGAAUCCCUAAAAGAAGAGAUCUAUUAGGUGUAGGGAAAAUGAAUAUCUUCUGCGACUGAUAGAGAGAGAACCAAAACUCAAAGAUCUGGAACAAGGUGAGACUCACCCCCUAAUCACCCAACUAGAUCGAUAUAUGUAUAUGGGGGAUGGUGGAAGAACAGAGAUAAAUUGGGUGGUUCUUAGCCGAGCCCUUCACUGUGUAGAUCAAUAUACUUGUCUUGUUCAAUUCUUGCAGCUAUUCCUAGGCCUAUAGUGCUACAAAAUCAAGAUAUUUUAUAGCCUGUUUAAAAAUUGUAUUAAAUCUCCAGAACUUCAAUUGAGAAUAACCUCAUGAAAAGAGAAAGAUCUUUCUCUCAAACUUUGCUAAAUCCAAUACAGACCCAAUGUCAUUAAAAGGUGAAUCCCUACUUCAGAGGUAAAGGAAAUGGCAAUAGUAGAAGUUAAGCAACUGACUUAAAUGGGAAAAUAUUGUAACAAGAUGUUUGUCUGCAAAGAAUUCAUCUCCAUCUCCCACAACCUGGAAAAAGAAGCUAUUAGUAAGGAGCAUGAGUCACAAAGAAUGGAACAAUAAGAGAAUGAUGAUAACCUGGUGCAGAUGACAAAUAAGGUCCAUAUCAUGCUUCUUUAAAGAUCCUGAAACUUUAUCUGGACCAAAGGUGCGUGAAACUCCCCUAUCAUUCAUUCGCCAACCCUUGCUAUCUCUACCGGGACGUGGCCAAAGUAAAUCACAAAGCAAACUAGAGUCUGGAACAUCAGUUGGACGGGAAAACUUCCUAAUUUGAUCCAAAUUUGUUAGUUCAGGGGAAAGACCACCAUGCAUGCACAAUAUCUUAUCUAUAAGAGCAGCCACAAGGAGACAAUUAAAACAAUCUGUGUAGUACGAGGGUUUCCAAAGUCUAACAUUGAACCAGGGUUAAUUGACUUAGUGAAAGAGAUACCAGAUUGGGAAGGAUUCCCAAAGCUUUUUUGUAGGAGAGAAGGUUCCAAAUUAGCGAAUAUAAACUAGCAGCAAAAAUACAACGAGGUAGGUCUUUAACAACUAGCCUAAAGUUCAUGCAAAAGAAUCUCGACCAAUUACACCCGUAGAUACCUUAGAGAACAACAUGUUCCAAGUUUUUAAACUCAAGAACUCAGCCAUAUUGAGUAUUGAUAGGAUAGGGAGUGAAGUAUCCACCAUAGGCUCCAGAAGCAGAGACGACGCCUGCGUAGACAUUCAUUUCAGAGACUGAGACUUUCACCCUAUUCAUCUCACAUCUCUUUUUUCCAAAAUUAAUGGACCAGAAACCUAUCCUCUCUCAUCAUCCCAUCACCAGUCAGAUUUUGUAAACAUUUCCAAAUUCAUCUUCAUUGAAGGAAAGAUAAGAGGUGAUAAGAAUCCAAGCACACAGUAAAUAGUAGAAGAAAGUUGUUUUAACUUCCCAUAAAUCUUUUCUACACAAUGUGUGAAAGUUUUAUUGUUUAUAUUAAUUUUCUUAAACAACAUCAUUCCAGAAGGUGAAAGAAGAAUAACACAGACCAUCCUCCUCAUCAUGGCAAAUGAGUAAUCAAUAAACAGUAAACACCCUCUCUUAUGAUAACUAAAAACUAAAUAAUAUAUCAGAAACAAAUCUUUGAUAGAUAAGACAAUGAAAGGCCAAUAUAUAAUAUUUCAUUACCUUCAAUUAUAAUCAAUAAUAACUUUGUGGCAGCAUUAAUAGAAACCAAGAAUUUGCCUGUGUGGUUACAAUGAAAAGAAUCAGAAAAAAUAUUUUCUACGUUAUGAUUUAAAGAGAGAAAGCACACCUUGUUUCUGAAGCAAGCAAGAAACAGUAGGAGCCUUGGUGUUCAUUUCCUACCUCCAUUACUGUGAGGGUGCAUGGGCAUUGCUUUAAAGGGUUUUACUGCAAAUCUAUUCAUACAAUACAAACAGCUUACUGGGAUUACAUAUACUAACUGCCAUUCAUCAUCUCAGUUUCCAGUUGCCACAAUGGAGAAGCUCUCAACUACCACAAACUUCUAAUAAAUGAGACAAAAUCUAGAAUAUUGAUGAAGGGCAUUGGAAAAAUGCUAGUCUUACAACCUUCUUUACCACUUGCUGAUGUGUGUGACAUUAAAUGUCACCAGAUUAAUUUACAUUUGAAUGUGCAUUAAUUAGUACAUUCAAAAAGAGACUCAAAUGAAUAUCUAUCAGUAAUUUAUAUUGUUUUUCUGGUUAACCAAUCAGUAUUGAUUAAAACAGAAACUAGAGCUACAGAAUCAAGGUUCAAGUUGUCCAUAUUGAAAUGGUAAACCGUUGAUCUCCUUCAUGAUCAAGUUAACAGUAGGUAAGUGUAAUGGCUAAACAGGUUCUUAACUUCUAGAAGCAUAAUCUUUAUUAAUUUCAGAUGGCAUAGGAAAGAGAAAAGACAAAAAGAAAAAGAAAAAUGACACCAAAAGGAUUUAAAACGGAGAAAAAAAAGAGAGGCAGCAAAUUCAGUUACCUUGUUGAUAAUAAGCUCUGCAUGUUUCACAAGCAGCAAUAGUGUGUCACCUGAAGCAGUACCAAUAGUGGCAGUGCAGUUCAUUUUUAUCAUACAAUAGAUUUCAAGACAUAAAUCAAUUAUCCACAUUAGACACAAGUACAACCAUGCUCAUGAAAGGUCAAAGACCACUUAUCCAUCAUCACAUGCAAUCAGAAUUAAUACCUGAGACUCAGCUAUUAAGCGAACCAUGGGCAGAACUAUUGGUUACAUCACAAAAUUUCGACGUUUCGUACAAACAGGUGGAAUUUGGAAGCGCCUCCAAAAGAAAUCAAUCGAGAGGUUGAGAAAAAUUAAAGAAAAAAAAAAGAAAGAAAGAAAUACAUGCAGGAAGCAGAGGAGGGCACAGUCUGGGGCUAUGCACUGAGGAUGGUUGUUCCUUGCUAGCACUGUAAUGAUCACUUCCAGUUCUUCCACAUGGACCUAUCAGAAACCCUAACCUCAAAAUUGAUGCGAACCUAGAAUUUGAACUGGAGUCAACUCUAAAUCGCUUGGGUAAUCUGGGUGAAUUCUCAUUCAAAAACAUGACCAAGCUAUUCAACUUAGCAUUAAUAAGAUACUGUGGUGCAUCAAGUUCUGCCCAUCGAAUCUUCAGACAUAGAGACUUCACGUAAGAGCACCCAUAUAUAAUUCUUCCCAUUAAAGACGAAUCCUUCUGCUGAAAUUUCUCCAGAAUGGUUACAUCUUCAGAACCACCAUAUUCAAGGUCUUGGUCCUUGUCUGGGUUGCUCCGUUCAGUGUCUCAUUUGAUCCAGUUCUGAAUCUAUUCAUGUCCACGGGUAUUUCCACCAGAUGCUUCAGCAGAUACAAGUGCGGAUACAGUGCUCUCAAUCACAAGAGAAUCACUCUGACGCCUUGCAUGUAGAAGGCCAAUCGUUGUCUCCAAUUUUCUUCAUUAUAGGUUCAGUGACGAGAUGACAUUUGAGAAUCUGGUACUGAUCAAACUUUUUCCUGGAAGGAGCAUUGAACGAGUCCUCUUCAUGGUCUGCAUUCCCGGCAGCUGUGGGCUUUGAAAAUGGCGCACCCAAAGGUGGCCAUGCACUCUUAUGCAGAAGUGGGGGCCCAUGGUGCUAUAGUUGAGCAUUGAAUAUGGACUUCAGGUCUUCUAAUCUUGGAUAGACUUCUGAUGCUUCAUUCAAGCACAUGACAUGGCAUCUCCUGCUUUAUUUCCCUUGUACAGGGCAGCCAUACCUGGGAGGAUUCCACCAUGGUCCUUUUGCCAUUGACGAAAAUCUCCAUGCAGCUGGUGAUACGACAUUCUUAUUCAGACUUCGACAAAUUGCUCACAGACAGUUUCCUUCAACUGAGAUAUCAUGUUGUCAUUGAUCUUCAGGUGUUCAGUUUCACAAAUAACUUUUUGUGCUUCAGACGUAUCAAAACACCCAGAAUCGAAAAUUAAUCCCCAAUCAAUUGGAUUCAACAACUUCUUUGCAUGUGUGAAGGCAAAAGAACAAGAAGCCUAAUGCUUUCUGGUUCUAAAAUAUCACAACCUACCGAAAAUUGCAAAUUCUGCAGGGCUAGAGAAACAUUAGGCGGAACCAUUUGCUUACAGUGGAGAUGAGGGUGGAAGGAAGGCAAGAAACAUGGAUGACUUGUUCUCCUUUGGCUUCUUGCUUAGUAACUCAUCAGUGAAUUCUAGCUCAACUGUUGUUUUCAUUGUGGGUGUCUUUGAUUCACUCCUCUGAUCCGAAGUGGGUAGCUGUCCUUGCUCCAGUAAAUCCGGAACCGAAAUUUGUCAAACAAUCUUGCAAUAGGAGCAGCUCCUUUUUCGGGGUCUUUAAGCUUCACACAGAGGCCUUGAAUGAGAGAGUCCCAUUUCUUCAGAAAAACCUCCAAAUAAAUCAGAAAAACCUCCAACCUUGAUAGCUUUUGCAUACACUGCUGCUGCAUCACUUUCUUCUCAUGUAAAGACUCGGCACCUUUGGCAAUGCCAUUGCACCAGAGCCACUAUACAGACCUCUGAAAAUGAAUGGUGAUCUAGCCAUACACCAUUAACGAGCUUCUCACCAAACUGCUACUUGUUGAAACUGUUCUUUGUCAUGUUAUGGCCAUGUCUAGCACCUUCCAUUCCAUGCAUGACCUGAUUAAGUCCUUCAAGUAAGUAUUCAGACCAUAGCUUAGCAAAAAGAGAGUCCCCUGGAAUCCCUUUAAGACCGGGUAUGCUGAAGUGAUUUGAGUGCCAUGAAGGACAGGUGAAGGACGGACAUUACACAAUUGGGAUCGCAGUACCUUCUCAGCCAUGGUAACACGAAGUCUACACAUAGUUCAUCAGUUGAAGCGUGCUCAUGCACAAGACUUGGGCACCACAGAUCUUGGAUUAUCAGCAUUUUGGUGACUGCUCAGAACCUAAACUUUAUAUCAUCAUCUAUGACUCCCAUUUCUGGAGACUUUUGGGGUUAGGUUUCUUCAUUGGCUACUCCAGAAAGGACCACAUAAAGCCUCUCUGGAAAUGGUUUUAGUUCUCCAUCUGAAAAUUCACUCUGGUUUGUUAGCAUCAAGGUAGGGACCUGUGCAAGGCUCCAUAUUCUUGUACCAAGCGUCUCUGCUUCUUCAGGCUGGCAAAAUGCAGCUCGAACAUCAUCUUGUUUGCCAUUUCAUGCAUCGACGUUCAUUCUCCCCUACCAAGUUGGGAUUUCACUUUGCUCAUACUUCUUUCCCCAACAAAGAUAUCUCAGACCCUGCUAGGAUCAAAGCUUGAAGCAGUGCCGUGAAAUAGAGGUCUAGUUUGUCCACACCUUCUCUCGGCAAUCUCAGUUUCCUUGAAAAUCUGGGGUGUGCCUUCCAGCAACUGCAUGAGCACCAGUGUACCGAACAAGCUUCAAAACUGCUCCCUGGCGAGCAGCAACAAUCUCCGUCUUACUAUCCACCAUUGUCUUAGGAAAAUUCUCCACAAUUAUGGUAUCCUUCAAAACUUUAUUGAAGCCUGAAGAAAUACCCUUUGUGAUCUGAUCCUUAGUGCAGGCUCUGGGGGUUCUGGAGAUAUCUCCUCUGCAGGUAAAUUAACUUCCCAUGCAAUCGCAACUUGAUUUUGAUCCUGCUAGUUCCAUUCUCGGAUUUUAUUGGAAGCACAGAGCCACGAACUGAUCCUUUCCUACAAACACUUGGUGAGAAAAUUCUAGUGUAGAAAUGAACCCAUGCUCUUUCCAUGGAACGAAACCCGAAAAUUGUAGAUUCAUCUAUCAAUCAUGCAAAGCAACACAAACACCAGAGAAACAUCUUCAUAGUGUGAGCCCACAAACAUCCAACCACAAACUGAGAACUCUCUUAAACGAAGACCACCUCUGCAUCUGACUAACCAUAAGCAGCCCCCAUUGUACCCAAUCUUCACAAAGUUUCCACCUCUCUCGAAAAUAUUCUUGUUAUUAUGAUCUCCAUAGCCAGGGCACCAAAGAAGGGAAGGGGAAGAAACACAGAUGCAGAAGCAUAGAGAUGAAAACCAAGAAAAACGGAGAAAAGGCAGACAAUGGGUGAGUAAUCAAACAAGCCACAUGUCAUUAUUUGUCAAUGGGCUUGGGCUGGUAGGAAGGACACUAGCAGAUUCCAAAUAAGAGAAAGACGGUCAAUAUCUUUAAAUAAUACACAAUGACAUAGGGCCUCACUGAGUUCAAACAAUGCUAAAAGAUAUAAAAUAAAAAAAAAAAAAAAAAACGAAUGAAACAAUAACAAGAAGCUUAUGAACAAAUAAAAAAUCAACAAAACUCACAUGUGGUCUGUGUCAUCCACAACCAAACAAGCAAACCAAACCCCAAACAGCAAAAAGAGAAGAUAAAUGACAUAGGAAAUGAAGGUGAACAAGAAAAUACCCAGUAAACUUCCCUGAGAAGUCCUCUAAGCAGCAGAGUUUGUUGAAUUUCUCAAUGCUCUCCCUCUAAUAGUCAUUCUUCCUUGAGCCCUUCUUCCUUUCCUUUCUGGUGUUCUUCUCUCUGCCUCUAACUCACUCCCUUACUGCCCAAACCUCCUCUCUAAAACCUCCUCAGGACUCCAAAACUCCUCAAAACCCAUUAGAAGAAAAGAAUCAAUCUCCCUACUAACAGCUCCCAAAAACCAUCAGCAACAGAGUGCUUUCCCCUAUAGCUCAGAACCCUCCCUCUGUUUUUUUUCUUCUCUCUACUCUAAAACCCAGAAAGUUCCAGCUCUCUUCUGCUUUUCGUUUUCUUAGCAGCUCCCUCACAUUUUCAUGUUCUCUCUCAUCUUCCUCUCAAAUUUCCACUCAACUCAUUCUCUACAACCUAGGAAAGUCAGUAGGCUCACCUCCUCUCUCCCAGCUCAGUCACCAAGUUCACCUCCUUUCCUUCUCUCAGCUCCCGCACCUGAAUAUCCUCUACCCGGAAUAUCCUCCUGACCACCACCAUGUCAGACAACAGUGUCCUUUGCUACGUGUCUCUUACAUCUCACUCCCCUGCAGAGAUUGUCCCCACUCUCUUUUCCAAAAACGUGCUCCAAAAGGGUGGGCCCCACAAAGGGCCAAAAAUGUUGAGUAAAGACGGAUGAAUAAAGAGUGAUGAAAAGGUGAGAAAUAAAAAAAUUAAAAAAAAAAGUCUUAAACACGCGCUAAAAAAGAAAAAGAAAAAAAAAAGGUAUAAUAAAAAUAAUAAUAAAAAUACAACAAAAUAGAGGAUAUACGAUAAUACAUCCCUAUAACAUGACAAAAGUGCUUUAUCUAUUAGAAUCAGAUCGAAUGGACCAAUUGAACUGGCUCGAUUGUCAGCAUUGAAACCAACAAUUUGGUUUCUUAAUCCAUCCAAUUUCCUCCAUUGGGUUUUUUGUGUUGCCAAAGUGAGCCUCUUAUUGCUGUUCAUUAGUCGCUGAUCGCAUUGCCCUUGAUGACCGAAAGGCCAGGUUGAUGAGGUUUAUAAACCUCUUUUCAUCCUCUUGAAUUUCUGAUAUGAGAUGAGAAGUAGCUUAUUUAAACAAAAUUUAAAGCAUGUGGAACAACCACUUUGUUGCUUACCAUGAUGUUAAAAAUUGUAAAACUAAAAAUAAAUUAUGUAUGUUAUUUCAAAUUCAAUAUAAGUAAAUAUAUAUAUAUAAAAGAUAAAAAAAGAUAUCAUUGAUUUGUAAUUAUAUAUAUACAUAUCAACCAAUGAAUCAUGAAUGGACAACUCUUAUGGAAUGAUCGGUUUUUAUUAGGUGUAUGUGCCAAAUACUCCAUCAAAAAAGUGCUAUGGGUUAAGAAUUUUAAAAUAUUUUAAUUUUUAGGGGUUUAACACUUGAUCCGAAAAGAUAUAGUCUUAUCUUUGUGCUAUAAAUAGGGAUAACAAUGAAAUAGGUUACUCUUAUCUCAACCUCGCUCAAUUUAUUCAAAAUAAUUUUCAUUAAAAAAAAUUAAACAAAUUAAACAGGUGGGGCAAGACGAAUAUGAGAAAUUCCUAUACUUAUCUUGCCCCACCUUGAACCUGUUCCAGGUUUUUUCUUUUAGAAAAAAUAUCAAAUCGUUUUAAACAUAUUAAUUUCAAAUUCAUCCUAUUAAAGACGAAACGAGCUUGUAAUAAAUAUAAAAAAAAAAACUCGGAUCAUUAACCUUAGCUUUAAAAGACAUAAGUACUAAAUAUUUUGAAGGGCCCAUAUGCACUUGGUAGGGGGUCUUGAAUGGAGCCUGAUGUUGGUCCUAUUUUCUAACUUUUAUACUAGUCUAAGAAGCAAGUCCUCUUGGGAGUGAGUUUUAUUUAAUUCAAGUGUCAACUUCAAUACUUGUCUUUCUCUAAGAAGUUUACGAGCUUCUUAAACAAACAAGAUGAAUGCCCAAGAUGAAACAAGUGUCAUAUCUCGUCAAACAAGAUGAAAGAUAGAGUAGUUGUGCCGAGGGAUGCAUGCUAGAUUGUUGUGUUAGAGAUGAAUGUUCAAUUUAAAAGGUUUUUCAUAAAUAUUAAUCUUUUCCUUUAUAGUUUCUUAAAAAUAAUUUUUGAAUUUGAAUAUAAAAUUAAAAUAAAAUAUUAAAUUUGAAUAUAAAAUCAAAAUGAAGUUAUGAACAUAUAAAUUUUUAUUAAGUCAAGUAAUUAAAACUUUAAAUUAAAUCUCUAAUAAAAUAGUUGAUGAAAUACAAAUCGGAAGCAAAUGAAAAUAUUAAAUUUUCAGUCACCUUUUAGGCUUAUAAGGACAAUGUUAUAAAUGACUUUUAUUAUAUUAAGUAAUUAAAAUCUUAUCUAAAUGAAAAGAUUAAAUUCUUAUUUAAGUUGAUGAUGAAUAUGAAAAAGAUAAAAUUUUAAAUUAUCUUUUAGGUUUGUGAUUUUAGUCUUUAUAAGGGUAUUUUUUGAAAUAAAAAGUGGAAAACAUAAAAAUAGCUUCUACUUUCAUUGGUAGGACUGUAGGAGACAUGACGGGAAUUUAAUUAUCUAAAACUCAUAUUUUUUUAGAUUUCUUUUUGCAUUUUUAAUAUGCUUUUUCUUUGUUUAACGGGAGAAUUUAAUUUUAUUUAUUUAUUAAAUUGUAACAAUUUUGAGAUUGUUUUCAAAUUUAUAAUACUUCGAUAUUAAAAAUAUUUUCAAAUUUAUAAUACUUUGAUAUUGAUUUUUUUUUUUUGAAAUUUACUAUAGUUUUGAUAAAAAUAUAGUUUUUAAAAAUAUUUAAUAAAAUAUAUAAGUUUUCAACUAUUUUCAAAUAAGAAACCUUUUUUAUGACAUUAAAAAGAAGUUGUGUUUUGAAUAAAUAGUUUUAGUUUAAAUAUAAAAGUUGACUUCUAAAAAAAUAAUUUCAAAAUUCAAUUGAAAUUGUUUCUAAUUUUUUAACCUUAAAGGGAUUGGUAAUUUAAAAAGAAUUAUGAUAUUUAAAAUUUUUUUUUUUAAAAAAAGUGCUUGUUUAAAAUAAAAUUAUGUAAAAGGGACACCGUUGGGGACCGUUGGGUAGACACCGUUGGGUACCUAGGGAGACAGGGACACGAAUCACUCCACUACUGGGGUUCACUUCACUCGCUCUACCCUUUUCCACCCCUAUAAAUUUGAGAGGGAAAAUAACAUGGCUCAAUUCAAGGCUUCCUUGUUAUUUCCUCGUUUAUAUCAACUCCUCUCUUCAUUCUAUCAAUUCCUUUUUCUCUGGUAAUUAAAUGACGACCUUCAAGCUCUUUGGUACUGAGAUAUCGGUGCCGAAGGAAAGAGAAAACAAGAUACCACCUCUCUCCCAACUGCCUUGUGCAAUCCUGCAUACUAAUAAAGGCAUGAAGGAGCGUGGCCGGGUUUUGGUGAUGAGAAAGACACUGACAACAUCCGAUGUGUCCGUGCAUCAGAGUCGGCUUUUCAUCACCAAUAGUAAGGUGCUGUGGAGCCAGUUAUUGGAGGAGGAGCAGAAGAAGGUGAAGGCAAAAGAGCACGUUGAAGUUGAGGUCGUGGAUCCCAAGGGGGGGAGGACUAGGAUGAAGUUGAGGCGGUGGCAGAGUUUGAAUAUACUUGUGCUGAAUUCCGGAUGGGUAAAGCUUGUGAAGGUUAACAAGCUGGAGGCGAAGGUGCAUUGUAUUGAGUUGUGGACUUUUAGGAUGGUGACAAGCUGUGCUUCGAUUUGAAUGUCGAAAGACAACGACAAUACCAUCCAUGAUGAUGAUAUAUCAUUCAUUCUGAAGAAUCUAAAUCUAGCUAUAAUGGUAUAAGUGUGUUUGGUCCGUCAUAUUUAUUGAUUUUGGUUUGCUUAAUUUGCUUUGUAUCUUGACUUGGAGUCGACCCUGUUGGUCUUUUUUUUUCCUUCGGUUUCCUUUGAAAUGUGCAUGUGUGAGUGAAAUAUGCGAGAAUGACGAUGAAGAUUGUAAGCUAUGGGCUUUAGUCAUGAUUUCCCCUCUUGUGUGAGUGGAAGUGUGAACACCUUUUCCAUGGGACUAUCACUAUUGUGGAGUAUACUCUCCAUGUAGAUUUUGCUUGUGAUAAUGAUCACUCUUGCCCCUUCAGCCAUGGAAAAUAAUAUCUCUCUCUCUUUCUCUCUUCUUUUGGUCCUCUUGAUUGCGCUCCUCCUCCUUUCGGGUCGCUUGGCUUCUUGUUCUUUAGGAGGCUCCAUCUUCAUUUCUUCUUCUAUUUUAUUCGGCGCCAUCUCCACUCCAAACAGUCCGAUGAUCUUCACUUCUUCUUCGUUGAGGCCUGACUCAAUCGGCAAGGGAUUGGUGUGGGAUGUGGGAACAGAAAAAAAAAAUUAUAUAUAUAUAUAUAUAUAUAUAUAUAUAUCUUUUGUUAAAGUUGCCAGCAUCUUUCAGAGGUUUUGUCCUUACUAAACUUGAACGUUGAAUUUUUAGGGGGAAAAGCCAAGAUGUUAGGACUGUGGGUCCAUGUCACGUGUGCUUGGUUUCGGCCUGAAGUUAUUUUCUAACACUACAAGAGAAUAUAUUUACGGCUGCAGCUAGAACCCCCAGCCAAGGGUAACAUAAGCGUGACUCUAAUAUACAGGUGCAGAUAUGGAAGACCGCAGCUAAGCGUCACCAUAGAUGGCGCAGAUAAAUCUUAUAAUUGCGGCCUCAUACAAUUGUGCGAAUAUAAUGUUCAAGUUAUAGCUGGACCAAUCUUUUUCCACUACCAAAUCGCUUAUAUAGCUGCUGCUCCUUGUAACCGCGGCCAUAAGGCUGCUACAACAUUGCCAGAGUGCCCUAUGGCACAAACAAAUACUGAUUCUAAUGCCCUAUCAUGUUCAAAUUUUGCUCCUUGGAUCUAUAUUCUGGAGCGUUUGGCAUGACAAGUUUUUCUAAUCUUUUUUUUUUUGACAUCCACAUCAUUUCUUAUGAUGUCAAUAUCCAUUGGAAAGAAAAUAUACUAUCUAUCACAAGAGUAUUUCAAUCUCAUUUUUCUCCAUAUAUAAAUAGAUUAUCGAGAUCUUAUCAUUAUCACCUACUUGUACCCUUUUAGGAGCGAAUUGUAAAAUAUAUACCUUUUCGGGGGUUAUUUGUUUAAACUAUACCUCUUUAGGGGUUUAUAUGCAAUUUCUUCAAAAGUGUCACUUUUUAUAUAUCUUUCCUUGUGUUUUCCUCUUCCACGGAAUGUGUUUGCCUCUUCAAGGUCUAUCACACUUCAAGUGUGCCUUAAACUUAUUAUUUAAUUGUCCUUCAGGGAUAUCAACUCAUUAUUUAAUUAUCUUUCAGAGACAUCAACUCAUUAUUUAAUCGUCUUUUAGGGACAUCAAUUCAUAUUGAAAUAUUCUCAAUUAGUGAUAAUGAUUGUGUCACUUUCCUUGCAUCAAUGAAAGCAUUUGGUAGUUAAUUUGCAAAUCCUUACAAAUGAAUAAUCUUUUGAACUUCUAGUUCACAUUAAUUAGUAUAAGGAUCAAGAUGAGUCAAAGUCAAUGCAUUUCAAAUAAUUUCACGUCAUUCUUUUGGAAUGGACUUUUCUCCCUUUAAAAGUGGGAAAAUUGUCUCAUUAAAAUGACAAUAUGCAUAACAUGACAUUAUACCUUUCAAGUGAAUAGGUAGACUAGUCACUAAAUAAAAACUUUUGGUUUUAUAAUAUACGUUUAUACGACUUUACAAAUAAUUAAUGCAUUAUCUUUUACCUCAAAGAACAAAGUUGAUCUUACAAGAUUCUUUUAUAUCUAACAUAUUAUAAAGUGUCAUUCAUAUGGAAUUAAAUACCAGUGACAUAGUAUAAACUCUUUUAGAACUUUUAAUAAGGUUUUUAUCACCUGAUAGUUUUAACAUUGUUUGUCAUCAAUGUUGUGCAAUUAAUGAGAUAAGAGUUUCAUCAAAAUAAUAAGUUAUAAAACAUGUCAUAAAGACCUCACCUUUAUAGAGUUAAAGAAAUAUUAUCAUAAAGGAAAAGUUAAAAUUAACAAGAAAAUAUUAAUCAUCGAUGAUGACUUAGCUUAAUAAGUUGUGUAAAAACAAUUAGAGCAUAUAUAAGACAACAAAACAAAUAUGAAAAAAAUAAUUUAAGUAAUAUACUUUUUAAAUAUCUAACACAUUUAAUUUUAUAAGUGUGGAGCAAGUUACACAUGAAAUAACUAAGAAGUAUUUUAAUAGUCAAACUAAUUGUAAUGAUUGAUCAAUAAUUUUAUUCAUAUAUCAUUAUGAUUUAAAUCAAUAUACAAAAAUUAAUUCAAAGGUCAAAAUUUCAAGUAAGCAUAUAAGGAUUUAAAGUAUCUUACAAUUUUUCCAUGUCUCAAAACUUUAAUUGAAACACUACAAAUCCAUCUAAAUAUAUAUGUAAAGAUAUAACAAAAUAUGUUAAAACCAGUAGUUCAACCUAUUGUAAUUUCAAAAUUAUUCUUGAAUAAUAAAAUUAUUGCAUUAAUAAAAAUACGAAUAAUACAUUCAAAUCCAAAUCAUAGAAAAUUAAGGACUUCAAUAAUUAAACUCUUGAAAAAAAAAUUCAUAUUUCAUAACUUUAGACUAUAAAAGUAUAUAAAAUUCUUAUACCUCUAGACUAUAGGGGAAACAACAAUGUUUAUAUUAUAAUACUUAUAAUAAUCUUUAUUUAUAUAUAACAUAUAUUUCGUUUCACAUAUAUGACUUUAGGUCACAAAUUUUCUAUAUAUUAUAGUCAUGAAAGAUUAUAAAAUUAAUUAUUCCACUUAGGUCUUAGUUAUAAGAAAUUAUAUAAUAUUAAUUUUAUUUUAUUUUUUGUAUAGCUUUUAGCUAUAAUAGGAUAUGAAAUGAUAAUCUCUAUAGUUUUCAUUUAUAGGAAAUACAUAUUUUCUUUCACAGGACUUCAAGAAUAAAUUUAUCAGAACUCCUAGUCCUAAUUUUAUUACGAUAAAAUGAAAAUUUUGCAUAAUAUCAAAUUAUAAAAUAUUCUCUCUAUAGCUUCUAGCUAUAAAAUUUCAUAAAAUUAUUAAUUGACAAUUUAAUUUGUAUAACUUCUCAUUAUACCAUAGCUAAAUUUUCUAUAUAACUUCUAGUUAUACACAAUUAAAAUACCAAUCUUUUCUUGUUUCUAUCUAAGUACAAAAAAAUAUGUUUUAUACAGCUUCUGGCUAUGAAAACAUUUUUUGUAUGGUUUCUACUAUACAUUCUAUUUUAUUGUACUAUAAAUUUAUAAAUUUAUACAUAACUUCAAGUUAUGAAAUAUUCAUUGUAUAGUUUUGGCAAUAAAAUUUUGUUUUGUAUAACUUUCGGCUACACAAUGUAAUUAAAAUAAAUUUAAAAGUUAAUAUCUUUCAUAACUUUAGGCUAUGAUUAUUUUGUCAGAACAAGAAAAUGUGUAAAUGUGUAAAUGUGUACAUAACUUCAGAUUAUGAACUAUUUUCAUGUAAAUUUGUACAUAACUUUAGGUUAUGAACUAUUUUUAUGUAAAUUUAUGCAUAGCUUUAAUUUAUGAACCAUCUUUUUAUGAAAAUUUGUGCACAACUUUAGGCUAUGAACUAUUCAUUAUAUAAUUUUGUACAUAACUUCAGAUUAUGAAUUAUUCACUGUAUAGAUUUAUACAUAACUUUAAGUUAUGAACUAAUUAUUUUUAUAACUUCUAGCUAUAAAAUUUUGUUUGGUAUAACUUUCAAUUAUAUCGUAUAAUUAAAAAUAAACAAUUAGGGAUCAUAUACAUAACUUCUAGUCAUGUAUUUAUAAUUUUGUAAUUUACCCUACAACUUUUGAUUACAAAAAUUGCACACAUUUUUCAUAACUUUUAGUUAUGAAUUUACUCCAUAAUUUUGUAAUUUACCUCAUAAUUUCUAGUUAUAGGGAUUACACAUAUUUUUUAGCUACAUACCUAUAAAAAAUUUUGUAGAUGAAUUCUUUUCUUUUUCUAUUUCGAGAUUCUUCUAUUUUUCUACAUACCUAGAGCGUCGUGCUGAUAAUGUGUUGUAAAAUAAAAGAAUGAAAAAAAGAAAAAAAAGAGAAAGAAAUUCUCAAAGAAAAGUAUAAUAAAAUAUAGGGAGAAAAUUGGAUCAUUUUUUAUUAGAGUCUAAUCCUUUUAUAGGGAGUUACAAAGAGAUAUACAUCAAUAUAGAUGAUUAUUACAAGUUACCAUUAUGCAUGGUACAAAGUCUCAUAAUUUAGAACAAGAAUGACUUUAUUGGAAGUCUUCUAUUUUUAGACCAAUAUAGAAUGUAACCAAGUAAAAUUAUAAAACUUGAGGUUGGUUUAUAAUUUACGCCUAAUUUAAAUUAAAAGGAAAGAGCUAGAUUGUGGUUUUUUUCCAUUUCUCAUUUAAUCUAGUGUAUUUAAUUUAGAGUAUGUAGAUUUUGUAUAUAUGGAUUUUGGGAAGUUAAAAAUAGCUAAUUUUAUUGGCUAAUUAUGAAGAUAUAAGUUAGAAAAUGAUCUAUAUAUCAUAUACAAAUCUUUGAUAGAUAAGACAAGGAAAGGCCAAUAUCUAAUAUUUCAUUAGCUUCAAUUAUAAUCAAUAAUAACAUUGGUGCAAGCAUUAGAAACCAGGAAUUUUCCAGUGUGGUUACAAUAAAGUGAAUCAAAAAAAAUAUUUUCUACAUUAUGAUUUAAAGAGAGAAAGCACACCUUGUCUCUGAAGCAAGAAAGAAACAGUAGGAGCUUGGUGUUAAUUUCCUGCCUCCAUUACUGAUGUGUUUUUUCAGCUUGGAAGGUGGGCAUUGCUUUAAAGGGUUUUAUUGCAAAUGAUUCAUAAAACACAAGCAACUUACUGGGAUUACAUGUACUAACUACCAUUCAUCAUCUCAAAUACUAUUAACUUCUAAUGAAUGAGACAAAAUCUUGAAUAUUGAUAAAGGGCAUUUGAAAAUGCUGGUCUUACAACCUUCUUUACCAUCUGCUGAUGUGUGUGACAUUAAAUGUCACCAGAAUAGUAAGUAGUAAUUUAUAUUUGAAUGUGCGCUAAUUAGACAUUCAAAGAGAGACUCGAAUCAAUAUCUAUCAGUAAUUUAUAUUAUUUUUCUGGUCAACCAAUUAGGGUUGAUUAAAACAUGUAGAAACUAGAGCUACAGAAUCAAGGUUCAAGUUGUCCAUUUUUGAAAUGGUAAACCGUUGAUCUCCUUCAUGAUCAAGUUAAUAAUAGGUAAGUGUAAUGGCCAAACAGGUUCUUAACUUCUAGAAGCAUAAUCUUUAUAAAUUUCAAAUGGCAUAGGAAAGAGAAAAGACAAAAAAAGAAAAAGAAAAAUGACACCAAAAAGAUUUAAAAUGGAGAAAAAAAAAAGGCAGCAAAUUCAGUUACCUUAUUGAUAAUAAGCUCUGCAUGUUUCACAAGCAGCAAUAGUGUGUCACCUAAAGCAGUACCAGUAGUGGCAGUGCAGCUCAUUUUUAUCAUACAAUAUAUUUCAAGACAUAAAUCAAUUAUCCCAUGCUCAUGAAAGGUCAAAGACCACUUACCCAUCAUCACAUGCAAUCAGAAUUAAUACCUGAGAGUCAGCUAUUAAGCGAACCAUGGGCAGAACUAUUGGUCACAUCACUAAAUUCCGACGUUUUGUACUGAUAAGCCAAGAAAAGAGGAGUUAGUUAUUGAUCUCACGAGAUGAAGCCCACUUGUUAUUUGUUAGCUUUAUUGUUAUUGGUUUGUUAUUUUACCAACUGUAUUUUAGUUGUACCAGUUGUUAUUACAGCUUGUCUCCAUCUAUUGUAACAGAGUUCUUUGAACAAUAUAUAUAUUCAAUUUCUCUCUCCUGCUUCAAAAACAAAGAGAGCAAAGUUUCAGUUGCAUCUUUUCUAUCUUGGUAUCAGAGCUCACGUUCAAGGUGUGAAUUUUUCUUCUCUUUCUCACUUUCUCUCUGUUUCUCUCUAUCCAAACAUGGCCUCUACUUCUACACAAUCUUCUUCUUCCUCUAGUUCGAUUGGAUCUGGACAAAGCUCAACAAUGGCGUCCAUUCCUUCCUAUCAGAUGCUUAAUCACACUCUGGCUAUGAAACUUGAUUAUACGAAUUACAUCCUGUGGAGAUCUCAGAUUGAUAAUGUCGUUUUUGCUAAUGGCUUUGAGGAUUUCAUUGAUGGAACCUCUAUCUGUUCGGAGAAAGAUCUGAGUCCAGGAGUGAUCAAUCCAGCUUUUGUUGCUUGGAGGAGACAAGAUCGAACAAUCCUCAACUGGAUCUACUCAUCGCUCACACCAGGUAUCAUGGCACAGAUCAUAGGCCAUAAUACUUCUCACUCUGCUUGGAAUGCCUUGGAAAGUAUUUUUUUUCAUCUUCUUCAAGAGCUAGGAUAAUGCAACUCAAACUCGAAUUACAAACCACAAAGAAAGGGUCAAUGUUGAUGAUAGACUACAUAAUGAAGAUCAAAGGAGCUGCUGAUAAUCUAGCUGCUAUUGGAGAACCUAUCUCAGAACAAGAUCAGGUUAUGAAUCUUCUUGGAGGUUUUGGAUCCGACUACAAUCCUGUUGUUACUGCUAUCAACAUUAGAGAUGAUAAGAUCUCUCUUGCAGCUAUACAUAGUAUGCUAUUAGCCUUUGAGCAUUGUCUUGAGCAACAAAGCUUGAUUGAACAAAUGUUUGCCAAUUAUGUCUCUUCCUCUAAUAACAGAGGUGGUGGAAGGAAGUUUAAUGGAGGUCGUGGACAAGGCUACGCUCCAAAUAACAAUAAUUACACCUACAGAGGUCGUGGAUGUGGAGGUAGAAAUGGACAAGGUGGAAGACAAAAUUCUAGUCCAAGUGAGAAACCUCAAUGUCAGUUAUGUGGUAAGUUUGGCCAUACUGCUCAGAUCUGUUAUCACAGGUUUGAUAUCUCUUUUCAAGGUGGUCAGAUUACUAUUUCUCUUUCUUUGAAUAAUGGGAAUCAAAACAAUAUACCUACUGUGGUUGCUUCUUCUUCUAAUAGUCUUGCAGAUGAGAGUUGGUAUUUGGAUUCUGGAGCAAGUCACCAUCUGACUUAGAGCCCGUUUGGCAGUGAUUUUUAAAAGUGUUUCUACCCUUAAAAACACUUUUAAGUGUUUUUGAGAUGAAAAUAAAGUGUUUGGCAAAUUUUAAAAAACACUUUUGAAAAUCUGGAAAAAACACUUGAAGUGAUUUUUAGAGAAUCACUUGACAGGUGUUUUUUUAAAAAAAACACUUCAAUUUUUUUGAAAUAUUCCAAAAAUGCCCCCAGUGAUAAAUCAAUUAGAAAAAUCUUUUUUUUUUAUAGAAAUUAAUAGGUGGUCAUAUAUUGUUUUACUUUUAAAAUUAUCUUUUAUUCAAUGUUCUUUUUUUUUUAUUAUUGAUUUAGAUGUUUUUUGUAAAUAUUUUUUAAAAUUUUAGUAUAGUGAUAAAAAAAUUAUUAUUUUUAAUUAGAAAAGUCUUUUUUUUUUUUAGAAAUUAAUAGGUAAUCAUAUAUUGUUUUUAUUUUAAAAUUAUCUUUUAUUCAAUGUUAUUUUUUUAGUGAUUUAGAUGUUUUUUCAUUAAUAAAAAGUUUUUUUUGUUUAUCAUACCAUUUUUUUAAUUAAAAUUGUAUGUCCUUUUUGGUAAUUUAUUAAUAUUAAAAGUGUUUUUAUAUUUAUACAAUAUAUUAUCAAAAACACUUUAGAAUCAUUUUUUCUAAUUAUCAUAAAAGUGUUUUUCACAGAAACACUAUAGCAGAAAACACUUCAAAUAAAAACACUUCCACUAGAAUCACUACCAAACGGGCUCUUAGAAUUUGGGAAAUCUAACCAAUACUUCACCAUACACGGGAACAGAUAGAGUCACUAUUGGUAAUGGUAAGCAUCUCUCUAUCUCCAAUAUUGGCUCUAAACAACUUCAUUCUCAUACACAUUCUUUUCAACUCAAGAAGGUGUUUCAUGUUCCCUUUAUCUUAGCUAAUUUGAUUAGUGUGGCUAAGUUCUGCUCAGAUAACAAUGCCUUGAUUGAGUUUCAUUCUAAUGUUUUCUUUGUGAAGGAUCGACAUACGAAGAUGGUUCUUGCUCAAGGCAAGCUUGAACAUGGGCUUUACAAGUUUCCUGUGUUCAACAACAAGAAACCUUAUAGUUGUAUUAAUAAUGCUUCUGCUUUUCAUUCCCAUUUUUCUAGUACUGUUGAAAAUAAAGCAGAGUUAUGGCACAAUAGACUAGGCCAUGCUGCUUCUGACAUUGUUUCAAAAGUCAUGAAUACUUGUAAUGUUGCUUCUGGGAAAUAUAAAUCUACUGUUUGUUCUGAUUGUUAGUUAGCUAAAAGUCAUAGACUACCCACUCACCUCUCAAAUUUUCGUGCAUCUAAACCUUUAGAACUUGUUUAUACUGAUAUUUGGGGACCUGCCUCUGUUAAACCUACAUCUGGAGUGAAAUAUUUCAUUCUUUUUAUAGAUGAUUAUUCCAGGUACACUUGGUUUUAUUCAUUACAAACAAAGGAUCAGGCCUUUCCCAUCUUUAAGCGAUUCAAGCUUCAAAUGGAGAAUCAGUUUGACACGAAAAUUAAGUGCUUACAGUUUGAUAAUGGUGGAGAAUUUCAAUCUUUUAUGUCUUUUCUUCAAGCAGUUGGUAUUGCCCAUCGAUUCUCCUGUCCAUACAACUCAACUCAACUCAAAAUGGUAAAGUUGAGUGGAAGCACAAACACGUAGUUGAGAUUGGGUUGGCUUUGCUAUCUCAUGCUUCCUUGCUAAUGAAGUACUGGCACUACGCUUUUCAAACAACAACUUUUCUUAUCAAUCAAAUGCUAAGCAAAGUUCUCGAGUAUGACUCUCCUUACUUCACUCUUUUUAGAAGGCAUCUUGAUUAUAAAUCUCUUUGUGUGUUUGGCUGUCUCUGUUAUCUUUUCAUUCGGCCAUACAACACUUAUAAAUUGCAGUACAAAUUUGUCCAAUGUCUUUUUCUUGGCUAUAGUUUGAAUCACAAGGGGUUUUUAUGUCUUGAUUAUGCAACUAGAAGAGUCUAUAUUACUCCCCACAUGGUCUUUGAUGAAUCAACUUUCCCACUUGCUCAGUCCAAGUCUUCCAUUUUGUCUAAUGAUACUUUAGCAGAAGGCUCUACUCCUGCCAUUAUAGCUCCUACUUUUUUUCCUACUUCAUGUCUUAUCCUAGAUUCAAAUAUCAGUCAUACUUCCAUAGAUUCUCAUUCUCUAUCCACAAGUGAAAGUCCUAUUCCUACAGACUCUUCUUCACCUCUGGACACAUCUAGUUUUUCUCCUGCUACAGAUUUGCCACCUGAAUCUGUUCCAGAACCUCAAGUCAUUGCUCCUGCUCUACGAAUGACAACAAGGUCUAUGAAGGUAUAACCAAGAAAAAGACCAUUCUUGAUCUCUCUGCCAUAAAGGUUUCAGAACCAUCUACUCUCAAACAGGCCUUCAAAGAUCCAAACUGGACUAAAGCUAUGGAAAUGGAGAUUGCUACUCUUCAUCGAAACCAUACUUGGGAUCUUGUUGAACAACCACCCGAUGUCAAUGUGAUUGGUUCUAAGUGGGUGUAUAAACUGAAACAUAAGCCAGAUGGGAGUAUAGAGAGGUAUACAGCCAGGCUUGUGGCAAAAGGAUAUAAUCAGACUCAUGAUCUGGACUAUUUUGAGACCUUUAGUCUAGUAGUUAAGGCUGCCACUAUUCGCAUCAUACUUACUGUUGCUCUCAGUUUUAAGUGGGAAAUUCGGCAGCUUGAUGUCCACAAUGCCUUCCUCAAUGGUGAGUUAGAAGAAUAAGUCUAUAUGUCUCAACCUCCUGGAUACUUCGACACUCAAUUCCUAAAUGGAGUGUGUAGAUUGAAGAAGCCUUUAUAUGGCUUGAAACAAGCCCCAUGAGCUUGGUUUCAAAGACUCAGCUCUGCUUUUCUUCAGUGGGGAUUCAGCUUGUCUCGGACUGAUAGUUCUAUGUUUCUACACUUUGGUCAGGCUACUACUUUGAUAGUUCUUGUCUAUGUUGAUGAUAUAAUCAUAACAGGCAGCUCCUCCACACAGAUUUUUUCUCUCAUAGCUAAACUUGAUUCAAUUUUUGCCUUACGAGACUUGGGUCAACUCUCAUUCUUUUUCGGUAUAGAGGUUUCUUACAAUGAAGGCUCUAUGAAUUUGAGCCAAACCAAAUGCAUUUCAGAUCUGCUUCAUAGAACUGAAAUGUUUGAUACCAAACCGGCAAAAACACCUGGUACUAUUAGGAAGAACUUGUCUAAAUUUGAUGGAGAUCCUAUGGUAGAUGUUACUCAUUAUCGAAGUGUAGUAGGGGCACUUCAGUACGUUACCUUGACAAGACCUGAUAUAGCCUUUGCUGUCAAUAAGGCAUGCCAAUUUAUGCAACAACCAACCACAACUCACUGGCUCUCAGUCAAACGAAUACUUCGGUAUCUAAGAGGAACAAUGCAAGAUGGGCUCUUGUUAAGUCCUUCAAGCAACUUGACAAUAGAGGGAUUCAUAGAUGUAGAUUGGGGUGCUCACCUUGAUGAUAAGCGCAACUCAAGUGGAUAUCCCGUUUAUCUAGGAGGUAACUUAGUCUCUUGGUCCUCUACCAAACAAAAAGUAGUGUCUCGUAGCAGUGCAGAGUCUGAGUAUCGUGGCCUUGUUUUCGCUACUGCUAAGAUUGUUUGGAUACAAGCCUUAUUUCAAGAGUUAUGUGUGCCAAUACCUGCAAUACCUCUACUUUGGUAUGAUAAUAUCAAUGCUUACCAUAUGGCAAAGAACCCUGUGUUUCAUGCUAGAACUAAACACAUAGAAAUAGACCUUCAUUUUAUACGAGAUCAAGUCAUGAGAGAAAAGAUACAACUGCACUUUGUUCCCACUGAAGAGUAGCCAGCAGAUUUAUUGACUAAGCAUCUCACAAGUUCAAGGUUCUUGUCCCUCAAAUCUCAGCUUUGUAUAGCUCUAAGACCCUUUCACUUGAGGGGGGAUGAUAAGCCAAGAAAAGAGGAGUUAGUUACUGAUCUCACGAGAUGAAGCCCACUUGUUAUUUGUUAGCUUUAUUGUUAUUGGUUUGUUAUUUUAUCAACUGUAUUUUAGUUGUACCAGCUGUUAUUACAACAUGUUUCCAUCUGUUGUAACAGAGUUCUUUGAACAAUAUAUAUAUUCAAUUUCUCUCUCUUACUUCAAAAACAAAGAGAGCAAAGUUUCAGUUUCAUCUUUUCUAUCUCGUACAAACAGGUGGAAUUUGGAAGCGCCUCCAAAAGAAAUCAAUCGAGGUUGAGAAAAAUUAAAGAAAAAAAGAAGAAAGAAAGAAAUACGACAGAUCAGGGAAAGGAUCAAAGAGCCUAAAACUCAGUUUUGAUUGUUCUACAUUUUCCGAUAAAUUGAUGAAGUGCAAGUCAAGUAAAGAGAACCAAACAAGUAGCGAAACUUAAAACUGAAAAACAUCCAAUUUUCAUUUCAUUUUCUUACAUUUUCUCAGAAACCAGAGGAGGUGAGCCACUCUGCAAUUCUUCCUUUUUUCAGUUCUCUUUAUUUUGAAUUAACGAAGCCGAAGCUAAGUAGAAAUCAAGAAAUAAGAAGCGAAAAGUCUUGAGAGUGAAAGUUCUUCGAUCUUGGCUCAAUUUUCCUCAUUUUUCUUGGCAACCAAACAGAGAAGAGACAUACUUGUUUCCACAAUCUAGAGCUUUCCACGGCUGGAGAAGACGACCACGGUAACAUUGACAUCGCAGAGAACAGAGAGCUGGCGAGGUUUCUUGAUCUAGCCAUUUCGCCUCUUGGAGAAGGUCACUUGGCGACUACUCGUCUUUGAUUCGCUUCAUCCCGACCAUAACUCUACUUCGAGCCAUAACUCAGAGAGAGAGAAAAGAAGACUUCCUACAAUUCCGAUCCCUCUUGCUCCGGUUAUGGGAUCCUUGCUCUUAACCCCCCUUUGAACAUGAGUGGAAACAAAGCUGUGGGCUGUGCAACGAGAAUUAAAUCAUCCUUCUAUUUUUUAUGUUCAGAAAAUAUAAAGCUAGAGAAAUAAAGUGAAAGAAAGUAAAAAAAAUAUAAUUAAAAUUCAUAAAUAAAUAUUUAAUAAUCUUAAUAACUUUUAAAUAAUAAGAAAAAUUUGUGAAGAAUAUUUUGAAAAGAAAAAAGUUUUCAAAAAGAACAUUUAGAAAAAAAAUAUUUAUUUUCCUUUUUAUAUAAAUAAAUAUAAAUGGAUUGAGAAGAAUUUAAAAUAAUUUUAAUGUAAAGUUAAUUUUAGAUCAUUUUAAUAAGUUGGUAUUAGAUUAAAGUAUUUUAUUUAAUUGAAUGUAUCCAAUUUAUAAUUUAUAGGUUUUCUACUAAUUUUAGAAAAUACAAAUCAUUGAGAAAAAAAUUUAUAUACUUUUACAAAAAUCUAAUUUUCAUAUUCUUACAUCACAUUUUAGGGUCGUAAAGAUAUUCUAGAAAAUAGAUCUUUUAUUGUAGUUUUAAAUUUUAGAAAUUAGUUUUGUAAGGUUUAAUUAUGAUUCAAUCACUUGAUCUCAAAGAAUAAAUAAUCAGGCAUGAUUAAGUAUUUUUUAAAUUCCACUAGCUAACGUGUCAAAAUCUUAUGGACACUGCAGCGAAUCGCAGUGCACCACCACGCAGAGGAUCCAGGUCCUUACCCAAACUUUUGAAUUAAUCUUACGUGUCGAAAUCUCAUGCACACUGUGGGAAAUUGCAGUGCACCGCAUCACAGAGGAUCCAGGCCCUCAUCCACACUUUUGAAUCCAAGCGUUUCCCGCGUCUAUAAAUAGCGAAGCAUGAACUUCUCAGAGCUCCGUUUGUGUUGUUUCUGAGGAGUGAGGAUUGAGAUUUGAAGAGGACAAAAUGGGGAAGCGAAUGAGAAGAGAGAAGUCCAUUUGCUGCUGCAACUCUCCUCUCGCUGGUUUCUCAUGGUGCUUGUACUCUCUUCAACUCUGCGAGUUUCUCUCUGAAAUCAGCUCGAAUUUCAUGAAAUUUUGAAUAUUUGGUUUGAAUUCAGCACAUUUAUCUGUAAAUCCAAACUCGAAUUUCCUGAAACUUUGAAUUUCGUAAAUAAUUUGAUGAAACUUCAUGAUAAUGUAAAAUAGUUCCAGGCAAUGAAUAUUUAGUUUGAAUUCUAUCAUAUUUGAUGUAGAAGAAGCUGUCUCUCUCUAUUCUUUCUCAAAAACUCUACCGAUUCCUCUUACAGAUCCACGGGAAUUUCAUGAAAAUUUGAAUGAUCAAUUUCAACCUUGAUACAUCUAUCAAUCGAACUCUCUUUCUGUAAUGUUUUCUUUGGAAAACAAUGCCACUCCAAAUAUGAUUUGAAGUUUGCUCGAGUUUUCAUGAAUAAGCAUAAUCAGAAAAAUGUAAACUAUUACCAGAAACUCUCUCUCCUUCAAGUUUGGUACAUUUAUGGACAACUAUCUCUCACUUCCGAUGCAAUUUGAUGCAAAAAAUCAAUGUGAAUAUGGAUAUCAUUUGAUAUUGUCUUGAACUGUUUUACAUUAUCAUAAUCAGAAGAAUAUGGAAGACUAAAGUCGAAUUUGGAUUUCCUAUACUUAUCCAUUAAUCUUAAUACAGAGAUAAUAUUAAUCUUCACUCAUUAGCACAAUCAGAAGAAUUGUCGAACACUACCAGCAGUUCUCUCUCCCUUGCUUGAGAACUCUAUGAAUUUCUCUGUCAAAUUGCUUGGAUUUUCAUGAAAUCUUGAAUGUUUAUUUUGAAUGCUGUACAUUUCAAAUAAUAAAGUUUAUACUAAUGAAAACAUUAUUUUUUUUCCUUUUUAAAAAAAAAUAUAUAUAUUUCACAGCCAUUGAAAGAAAUGAAUUUCUUUUCUGAUUUGGAUCUCUAUACCCUUUACUGUUUUAAUUUUUAUAAAAAUUAAUACUAUAUGAGUCCUAAAUUUAUUAAUACUCUAUGAGUCCUAAAUUUAUCCUUCUCUCAUCCAGAUUCCUUGCAACAAUACUGGUCAAAUGUUUCUUUUUUAUUUUGACCUUUUUAUGUGUAUUGCUUUGUAUUGCAUGCAAAAAGGUAUGAAGAAGACAUAUGGACAGAGAUUGCAAAGCACCUGGAUGGUAAAUCUCUGGUGAUGCUGGGAACAACAAAUAAGUGGUUCCACUGUCUGAUCAUGGAGGACAGUAUAUGGAAGUUUGCUUGUCUGCGUGAUCUCCAGCUACCAGAACCACAACACACAUUCCUCAAUUGGAUCAAGCUUUAUGCUUCUGCUUUCGGUAAUGAGCAGGGUGUUAAAUUUUCUCAAUAUUUCAGUUAUGUUAUGGUUCUUAUAGUGGAUUAGUAUCACCAUCUGCUUAAUGACUGCCUUGCAGAUGGAAGUCACUCUUUCAUGUUCCGUCAGCGGGAGAAACAUAUUGGUAAUUGCCCUUUCCUUUUUACUGUUAUCUGGAUUUUUUUGCCUUAGUUGCAAGAGACACCAAUUAGUUCUCAUGGUUGAAGCGGCUGCUUCCAUAGUCUUUGAAGACUGUUCUUAUGAACAAUUUUCAGUUAUUAAAUAACAGUGCACAUUGUUUAGGGAGGAGGCUAAUUCGAUGCAGUUAAGGUGACAAAUUGUUUGGAAAGCACAGACAAUAAUUGUAUACCAUCAAAGUAUUGUAACUUUUCUUACUGACGAGUCUUAAAAGAGUGAUGGAACUCAUUGUGCCACAUUAUGCCACUGCUUGUGCUUUAGCAGAGUAGAAAGGAUCAAUCCCAUGAGUCUCAAAAGAUUAGAUUAUUAUCUAGUUUUGGGUUCUGCCCUUGGAUAGGACUCAGGACGCAUCAAUUUUAAGUUUACCCUAUUUUUCAUCUACUUUUUUCUUAACAGGGAUAGACAAUUUGUAAAUUUUUUUCUCCUUAUCAUCAUUCUCACCAAACAUCAUGAAAUGCAGUUUUCAAAAUAUGAAUUCAAAGUCUAUCUCUAGAUUCAUAAUUUUUCACGCAUUUCUUUUUUUUUUUUUUCUUUUAAUGAAACCAAAUAGAUUGGAUGCGAAUCGAAUCCAAUUGCGCUCCUAGCUGAGAAGCUGAGUUGCCCCUUGAAAAUCCCACAAGGUGAAAACUUAGGGAAAACAUUGGAGUCAUGCGGCUUCUGCAUAUUGAACAAUAUCAAAACGGGGAUCUGGAUAGCUGGUACUUCUAAGCAUUGAAGGAUGUUGUGUUCAAUUACUCCGACUAGUGUCACUCCAGCUAAUUACAUAUUUUUCCUGGAUUUGUCUUUUCAGAUCUACAACUUGUUAGAUGCCCUGUCUGUGACCUCAACACAUGUGAUGGUAAGCAAGAACCCAUCUAUCAAUAAAUUUGAACUAUUAAAGAGACAUUUAUGUUAAUGCUGGUUGAAGAGUUUGAUUGUAACUUGACACACACUGGGGCUAUUUGAGCUAGUUAGCCUAAUAUAGACAAAAGGCCAAACUUUACAGAAUGUGGAACACUUCCCAUUUUUGCUGAAGUAGUUCAAGGGGUAGGCUGUUAAUAUGCUACGGGCUAGGCAUAGAGAUUCUCUAAGGAACAGAUCUUGCAGCUUGCUCUGUUGUAUUCAUUGGAGGAUCAUGCUUGGCAUUUUAUACGGAAGUGAUUGAUCCACAUUGUUUUGCUUUGUUAGUAAAACCAAACUGUAAAUUCUGAAGCUAGAGGGCAACCAGGAAUGCACCCUAAUUAGUUAUUUCUUGGUUUACAUGAGGCCAAAUUCAUUAGCCUUCCAACAAGUAGGAAACUUCACAGAGCAUGUUUUUUUGGUAUUUUUGAUUAGACAACCGUAUAUUCCACUUAAACUAGUCAUUACAGAGCAUGUUUUGGUAUUGUACUUUGGCGCACUAUUUACUGUCAUUAAAUUAUACAUAACUUUCUUUCCCUAUCAUAAAAAAAUAAAAUAAAAAAGAAAGAGAAACACUUGUUCUAUUUCUUUGUAAAUGCAAAAUACAGCAGAUGUAUAUGCAACAAUCACGAAAGGAACUACUGUUUUUUUUUUUUGGGUUCUAAAUUGGUCUUUUAUCUAAUGCUUCAUUCAACGGUCAAACCUUAAAAAUAAAUAUUCUUCUCUCUUUAAAAUCCCUUCAGAGUUUAAACAAACUAAAUACAUUAAAUAAAAUAAGAAAUGGAAGAAAAAUUGAAUUUUUAAUAUUUAACUGUUAAAUUUAAAUAAUUAAAUAAUUUUUUACUAAAAUUAAUUAAAACUAUUGGAUAAUAAAAUAAAGUCUAUUAAAAUUAUAUUAGAAAAUAUUUCCAAAACUUGUUUCUAUAAUAUAUCAAAUUCAUAAAACUUUAAAAUAAUAAUGAUGCCAAAUAUUGAAAUAUAAAUGGAAUAAUUUUAAUUAAAUACAAAUUUUGCUAAAAGGAUUUGUUUGAAUCCAUUUUAUUUUGAAAAAAAAAAAGUAUGUUUUGGGUAGAUCCCGUCAAAAACCCAAAUCCCGUCAAAAACGGUCCUCUUAUUUUCCCAUAUAUUCCCGGAAUCCCAAGAAUACGGUGAAACCUAACUCUAACCUCUUCUUGUUACAACUGGACGACGCAGAUCCAAGGGUGUGGGAUACCCAUCAUCAUCGGCUUCUUUACAUGUGCUUCAGUGGCACUGCACUUUCCAAGCUCCUUCCUUUCCAUCUCCCCUCGUCCUCUCUCUCUCUCUCUCUCUCUCUCUGAAUUGUGAUGGAGCAGCAGCACCGCCAGCAUUCUCAGUUUAAACCUUCUCGUCGAAGGACAACUGACUCUGCCUUUUUUGUUUUUUAUUUUUCUUUGCUCGUCCACAGGUAUGCUUUUGUUGCCUUUUGUCUUUUACCAUAGUAUCAAACAUGUCCAAAUCUGGGGUUCCCAUUUUGAUUUCUAGUUUUCUUCAUUUCUUCAAGCUAUUUGUGCUGUUUUCUUUUAGGGUUUUUUAUUUUUUUAUUUUUUUAUUUUAUGAAUUUAUGUUUUUUUUUGGUAUGUGUAUUUUUCUUCCAUUGCUGUGGAAAUCACAAUAUUGAGUUUUUGGUAUUAGGAUUUGGAUGUCAAAAUCACGAGAUUUUGGUGUUUGAUUAGGGUUAGGGUUUUUUAUGUUCAUGCCUAUUUUAGCACUUGUAUACGUAUGUUUAGAGAAUGUUGUUUAUUUAUGUAUUUUUCUGUACAUUUUUGUUAAGAAAUUCUUCUUUAUAUUGCGAUUCCUAUCGAAAUUUAAGGAAAAUAAAUUUUCAAUUUUACAGUUUCAUGCAUAAAUACUUGAAUUUGGUCACAUGGAGAUUGAGAUGGUAAAUAUGUAGUAUUUACAUUGAUGAAUCACAUGGAGAUUGUUUGAUUUUUACUUCUGUUUGUCUAAAUAGUUUAAGAAGACAUUUCCUUUUCAUAGCUUCUUCUUAUAUAAGCCCUUUGCUCAGCAUGAUCAGAAUUUAGCCUCUCUUUAUAUAGAUGUUGCCCUUAAAAUAUAUAUGUGCACUGCCACUAUAACCGUCGUGGUUUGGAUUGAUUCAGGAUUUGUUUUCUUCUUUCAGGGACUUGCCUAACCACAGAGGACUGCCUCUUUAAUAAAAAUAGGAACCCACAUUUGACUAAGGAGGAAAUAGAGGCUGAGCUUAAGUCCUAUCUUGGAGUCAAGAAAGUUAUUUGGUUGCCUCGCUGAUUAUUUGGUAAAUAUUUCUCCUUUGAUUGUUAAUUUCUGCCUUAGGUUUAGAACUAGUUGUAAUGAAGCACCCCACCCUAAAUAGGUCAUUCUUUUUUCUUAUAUGAAGGUCUACAUGACCCUUGUAUUUUGCUGGCAUGUUCAUGUUGAUUCAUACAAGACCACAGUCAUAGACCUUUGUUUGUCUUCCAUUUUUUAAAUAUAUUAUUAGCUUUCCGCCAAAUUGGUCUCAUGAACUCUAAUGAUAGAAAUGGAACUCUCCAUUUGAAGCUCUGAAUUCAUCUUACAAUUAUAGCUGGUUUUCUCAGUGCUUUGCAAUUAAUACCUUUUGCUAAUCUUUGUUCAACUUCUAGCAAGUAAAAUCCAAAAUUCGGUAGGGCAGUGAAGAAUUGACCACGCAAAAUUGUUUCAUUUCCUGAAAUGUAAUUAAAGUUCCAUAAUUUAACUAGUUUUUUACCUUUCAUAUUGAUCCUUUUUCUUUUCUUCUUUGUUUGGUUUUGAUUUCCUUCAUUAUGGAUCUUGUACUGCUGAAAUGGUAUUCUUCUGGGGCCACACACAUAUCAUUCAUGAGCAAUGCUUUUUUUGCUCAUAUUCUUUGAGCUUAUCACUUUUACCACUGUUCGUAAUUGGACAUCUGGUAGCCUUGCUGUAUGUGAGGCUGACCCAUAAUAACCAAACAAAACUGGUGGGCAUACAUUAUUUUUGCAUUUCAAAAUUGUAAAGAGUCAAGCUCUAGAACUAUUCAUUUUUGCCACAUUUUGGUUCUAUACAACUGCCUUCAUGGGCUUUGGUUCGGAAUGACAUUAUGGGAAGCAUCCGUGGUUUUAGACUAACUACUCAAACAUAGUACUUACUAAGAUACCAUUGCUUGAAAAACUUCACAUUCAUAUUUUCUAGAAAAUCAUUUCCUGUUUUUGAGGAUAAUGGAUCUUCGAAGCUGGUAUGGAGGAUUUAAUGUCAUUGGUCUGAAAAAAUUGUUCUCAUUAAGGGUUUUGUUUGGAUUUUAGAACCAGUACAGCUGGUGGGCACACCGUGAGGGAUUUAUAUGCUGGUGUAGUUAGCUUACAGGUAACACCAUGACCAAAAGGAAUUUUGUUUGAAAAUAUUGACAAGAGAAGCUGGCUUUUUGAGUCACAGAUGCUUCAAAUAUGAGAAAUGCAAAAAAAAAAAAAAUUUCGCUUGGUUUAUGGCAUUUUUCUAGUCUUAUUUGCAGAAAGUCAUCUUCUCUUUAAUAUUUUUUGUAAUCUUAGUCUUUGGGAUUUUUCUAAUUUUGAUGUUAUAAUCACCCAGAGGAGCACGUAAGUGAAGAAAUUUUUUUAAAUCGUCCAACUGCUGGCACACUCUUCAUGGAGGGACAGAUGCAAGCAAGGGAUCAAGAUAACAGUGGGGAAAUGCAUGACUUCAAUUUAACUACUAUAUUGACUGCUAUGAACCGCUUCUCUGAUGCCAAUAAGCUUGGAGAGGGAGGUUCUGGGCCUGUUUACAAGGUCAAGAAAGAACUUAAUUUCCUUAGAGAAAAAGGGUUCUAAGAGAUGCUACACGAUAUAUGCACAUUAAACUCUGUGAAUCUUACUUUCAUGACAUACAACAAUGCUUGGCCACUACUUGUUUGAUCGAGUUUGAAAUGCCUUCAGGUUAAGCUGCAUAAUGGGAAGAGAUAGCGGUUAAAAGGCUUUCGAGGAAAUCAGGGCAAGGUCUUGAAGGGUUCAAGAAUGAAGUUAUGUUAAUUGUUAAACUUCAACACAAGAAUCUUGUGAGGCUGCUGGGUUGCUGCAUAGGGAGAGAGGAAAAGCUCCUUGUCUAUGAGGACAUGGCCAACACUAGUCUUGAUGCCUUUCUAUUUGGUUUGCUCUCUCUUUCUCUUCUUCUCUCUCUCUCUCUCCCACACACAUGUAGCGUCAUCUUCUUAAUACUUUGCUCUUCCAGUAUCAUGAAAAACCUUCACAAGAAUGGUCUAAACCUCAAAAUUAUUAUGAGAUUUUCCCCUGAAUUUUUUUUUCUUAUGUUCUUACAAAAAGCAGGCAACUAGACUGGGCCAAGCUUGCUGCCAUUGUUGGGGGAAUAACAAGAGGGAUUCUGUAUCUGCAUGACGACUCUCGGCUCAAAAUCAUCCAUAGGGAUUUGAAAGCAAGCAACAUUUUGUUGGAUGAAGAGAUGAACCCAAGGAUCUGAGACUUUGGAACUGCUAGGAUUUUUGGUAGUAAUCAGCUUGAUGCUAACACAAACAAAGUUGGUGGUACAUUGUAAGUCAUCUCCUUCUCUUGCCAUGCUGUGUUUAACUGUUAAGCCCAAAAGAAAAAAGGAAAAACUGCACAUACAUAUUCUCUUUCUAUUAAAAAAAUAUUCCUUAUUCUAUAAUAAUAAAGAUAUUCUUUAUCAUCUAACUUGUCUAGCAUGAGACACGCGCAAUCUUAAGUCCAAGAAAGUACUACUAUUCCUAUCAAUCAAACAUCUCUCUACUAGUUUUAUGUGAAAAUAGCCGUUUUAUAGAAAAAUAUAUAUAUAAAGUUUAGUCCCUUUGUAAAACUUAUGGUCAAACUAGUCUCUUUAUUACCAAGUCUAUGUCAUAAUUUUUUUUCUUUUCAAAAUUUAAGUUAAUUGAAACUACAAUUAACAAUUGAGAUUUUAUUUUUGAACCAAAACUUUAAUUACUAAUUGAACUUCAUUAAUUUUUUUUACUUUAAAAUUUAAUUAAAAAAAUAUUAAAUUAUGUUGGAAUUAAAAAUAUAUAAUUUAAUAAUAAUAAAUUUAUAUAUUUAAAUUUAAUGAUCUAAUAUUAUUUUAAUAAAGAUAAAUUGAUAAAUAUAAUAAUAAAUGAAUAUUUUAUUUAUUAAUAAAUUAAUAAUCUUAAAAUAAUAAAAUUAUAUGAUACAUAUAUAAGAUAUAAAAUUAUAUAAUUUAUUAAUUUAAGAUAUUUAAUUUAUUUUGUUUUUAAGAUAUAAAAGUAUAUGUACUUGCUACAACUAGAAAGGGGUUUUUGGUUUUUUUUUUCAUUAUCUAAAUGUUUAGUGGAUAUUUUUUUGUAACUUUGAUGAAACUAUUGAAAAUGAUAUUUUAUAGUAGACUUUUUCUAAGUAAUUUCAUUAACUAAUUUCAAAACGUAUCUUCAAGGCAUAUAUGUUAUGUGUACAAAUAAUAGUAUUUUUUUUUUUAUGUAAAAUUAUAAACAAAUGUUUUAAAAUAAUAAAAAAAUCUAUAUAUGGAAACUUAAGAAUAUACUAUUAUUUAAAUAAAGAUAAAUUUGUCAAAAUACAAAUAAAUUAAUAUCUUAAAAAUAUAAUAAAUUAAAUAACUUAAAUUAAUAAAUUAUAUAAUUUUAUAUCUUAUUUAUGUAUCAUAUAAUUUUAUUAUUUUAAGAUUAUUAAUUUAAUAAUAAAUAAAAUAUUUAUUUAUUAUUAUAUUUAUCAAUUUAUCUUUAUUGAAAUAAUAUUAGAUCUUUAAAUUUGAACAUAUAAAUUUUUUUAUCGUUAAAUUAUACAUUUUUAAUUUCAACAAUAACUUGUAAUUUAAUAUAUUUAUUAGACCACAAAAUUUGUCCCAAUUUUAUCUUUACAUUAAUUUUGAGUCCAGUUUUGAAUUCCAAUUACAUAUAUUUUUUGGUCAACUUACCAUUUAAUAGCUUUUAUUAUUUUGUAUAUCAUUUUAUUUUAUUUUAUUACUAAUACUUUUAUUUUAUUAUUAUUAUUACUAUUAUUUUAUUAUUAUUAUUAUUAUUAUUAUAUCUUUUUUAUUUUAUUUUUUCUCUUUCUUUUCUCUCUCCUCCCUCCUCUCUCUUUCCUACCCCAACCACCCCACCCUCUUCUUCUCUCUCUUCCCAUUCUUCCCACACGGCUGCCCCCCUUUCCCCCCAUUUUUGUUUUUCUCCCCAUUUUGUUCCCUGUCUUUUCCUCCCAAUUCCCAAGAUUUUCCCCCCAUUUUUUUUCCUCUUCUCUUCUCUAUCCUUUUUCCUCUUUUUCCCUCAUCGAAACACGUCGGACCCUCCAACUCUGAUUUUUUUGAUUUAUUUUUUUCCCUUUUUGGCCGCAACCGGCCAUUGAAGAGUUUUGGCGGGGGGUGUUUUUUUCUCUUUUUUUUUGCUGCUAAGACGGGGAAUGGACCCGUUUUUUUUUUUUUUUUUUCUUUUCUUCCUCCAUUCCUCUUCUUCUUCCCACAGCCAACCCCCAUUUUUUUUCUUCCCUUUCUCCAUUUUUUUUUUCUUUUUUUAGUUUUUCUCCUCCUGUUUUCCCAAGAGAGUCGACCCCCAUUUUUAUUUUAUUUUUUUAUUUUUUCCUUUUUCUUCUUCCCCCAAAAGCACCCAACAACCAGCUCCCCCAUUCCUCUUCCAUUUUUAUUUUUUAUUUUAUUAUUUUUAUUUCAAUUUAUUUUAUUUUAUUUUAUUUGUGAUUCCUAAAAAAAAUCAUCCACUACUGCUGACAAGACCGUCGACGAGCCACCGUCGGUCGACGACCCCUUUCCCAUCUCAUCUGUUCCCGUUAUUAUUAUUAUUAUUAUUAUUAUUAUUAUUAUUAUUAUUAUUAUUGUUAUUAUUAUUAUUGUUAUUGUUAUUAUUAUUAUUGUUAUUGUUAUUGUUGUUAUUGUUAUUGUUGUUAUUUUAAUUUAUUUUAGUAGUAAUUUUUGUUUAUGAAAUUUGGAUUGUUGAAUUAAUAUGAAAUUUGGGGUUAAUUUGUUGUUGGUAGAUUAAUACAUAAUUUGAUUUAAUUUAUUGUUAGUGAAUUAAUUUGAAAUUUGUUAAUUUGGGUUUGUGGGUAUAUUGUAUUGGGUGAUUAAUUUGAGGAUAUUUAGAUUAUAUCAAUUGCAUAUUGUUUAUUUGGACUUGGGCCUAUUGUUAAAUUGUUAUUUGUUUGGGCUUAUUGAAUUGGGCUUGAAAUAUUGUUUCUCUUGACCAUGUGUUUUUUUUUAUGUGGGCUUGUUAAUUGAUGUGAAUUUUGGGGUACAUAAUGUGGAUGAGAUUUGUUGGAUUAUUUGAAUAUUUGAUAUGAGUUUGACCAAUUUAAAUUAUUUAAUUUGGACAUAGGACAAUUGUGGUGUAUAUUAAACUAGGCUUAGAUUAUAAAAUAUUAAGUUUAGGUCUAGUAGAAUUUAUUUUAAUUUAUCCAAUUUUAGGUUUGGUUGAUUGUAUUUGUAUUUUUGGUUAUUAAUUUGGAUGUUCUGGGUUAAGACCUAUAGUAAUUUGGGCUCAUUUUAAAUUGACAAAAUUUAUGGGACUAAUUUGAAAUUGGGAUUUGGGUUUCAAUAUUUGUUUGAGAUUUUAUACAUCUCUGGAUAUUUACAUUUGCGCUGUUUUUGUUUUUGCAUGAACUCAUUCUGCAAUCUUGUUGGCUUGAGUACGAAUUGAUGACACGUGAAGUUUGUUGUAAGUUUAUUUGGGUACAUAUUUUAUUUACCACUUUUAUGUGGUUUUAUUUUAAUUAAAUCUUGUAAAUAUUUGUUCGUUUAUAUUUAUUGAGUGUAUACAAAAUUGAACAUCAAACAAAUUAAAAUUUUUGUUUAAAUGAGAGGAAGAAUUCAGUAAAUAUGUUCUAAUAAAAUACUAAUUUCAAAAUAUCCUUUUUAAUAAAAGAAAGUUUUUUUAUUUUUAUUUUUUAUUUUUAUUUAUUUAUUAAUUUUUUUUUAUCU
rnacentral:lncRNA from 1 species